rnacentral:lncRNA from 1 species
AGAAAAUUAUUUUAAUUACUAAGCUUCGAAUCUUGAACUUGAUGGAUAUCAUCACAUCAGAACCAAUGUACAAACCAAUUCUAAAACAGAGUAGAACUCUGGAAUUUUAAUUGCAAAAAGGGAAAAUUGAUUCAAGUUUUAGCCCAAACUGAUGUAACAAUCAAGUCAAAUAGCUGUACCAUGAAACCAACUUUUCAUUUUAAAGUUCCAACUAAAGCAAAAUCAUUUGGAUUCUUUUUUUCCAGGUGUUUAUGUUGGGUUCCUCUGUGGGGUAAACAUCAAUCUAGCUUAAGAAUGAAAACUGUGAUAGGGUUGGCAUUGAAAAUAACACCCAGGCUCCAUGUGUUCAUUCAGCGAGUUUUGAGAUGAGAGCAACUCUGCCAAAUUCUGAAUGCAUUUAUAUGGUCCAUUGAUAAAUCAGGGGAAAAGAAUGCCAUGAGGAUGCUAAUAAUCAGAAUGAGUCAAUAGUAAUUUGCCCAAGAGCAUAUGCUUCCUCUCAAUGGGAUAAACAAGGCAACUCUGUUGACAAGUUGCAGUACUGCUUCAAUAUCUAAGUCCAACCACAAUAUAAAUAAAUCAUUCAGUAGAAGAAAUUAAAGAGCUUAAAAGCUUACUUGUUACAAACAUCUGUUAUUUAUUCCCUCAUAUGCUUUCCUUACAUCAAUCAUUGCCAUCUUUAUUCCCUUCACAAUAAUCUCUAGGUAAAAGGGCACAUCUAUAAAUGUGGAUUUUGUGGGAACUACAUUUUUUGGUGAGAAAGAACAUAUAAAAAAACCACCCAUAAUCUGCAACUUCAAUUCCAAUAGAGUAUUGAAUCUGUGUCUGGCUUGACUAUCAUGCAAGUUUUAUGAAAUCUACAGAUCACAGUCAUAAAAAAUAGAACAUAACAAAUAGAAAAUACCUACUCCUAGAUCAAUAUAAAAGCAUAGGUUAUAAGAUUAACCAAUCUCGAAAAUAUGUUGACUAUAUUUAGGUAAUAGUUGGUAGGUUUACCUUGUUGAGAGCUGGACUGCAAUACAACAUGAAGCCAGCAGUAAGCUACUGUCGAGACCAGCAGCACCUACAGAGCUCAGCUCAUUUUGCUUGGUGUGCAAGAAUGAUUUUUGGACCGAAUGAAGCAACCAACAUUGUUGUUUUGUUUUGAUGUAAUUUGGUCUGGUUCAAUCUUAGUUUGCUUGUAAUGUUAGUAGAAGUUAAGUUAGUGAUAAGAUCUUUUGAUGUAAUGGCUGAUUGGUCAGCUAUAUUUGAUUAAUUUUUAGCUAGUGACUAGGUCUGUAUUAGUUGGGGCAGUUAAAUACAUUAGGUAACUGUCAAUGUAUAUUGUAACUUCUUUUAUAUUUCAAAUUUGAAUGAAAAAUUAGUAAUGUUCAGUUAUAAUUUUUUCUGAGUGUUCAAACUUUGUUCACUGCUUUUGUUUUGCUUUUCUUUUUGCUUCGAUUCCUCUUGCUUCUGUUUGCAAAUCUGUUUGGUGUUUGUUGCCAUUGUUCCAACAAAUGGUAUCAGAGCCCAAAUCUUUGAGGGGCCUUUGUAUGCAAUCUGUUGUGUUCAAACUUAAACCAACAUCAAAAUUUAAAAUUUGGAAAGAUCGAAGCAUUUAAAAUCAGUCUAGCAGGAUGAGUUUUACUCCACCACCUCCACCAGUGUUCACUGGAGAAAACUAUCACAUUUGGAUAGUUAAAAUGAAGACUUACCUCCAGGCACACGAUCUUUGGAGUGUGAUCGAGAAUGAUGCUGAACCACCUCCAUUGAGUGCCAAUCCCACCAUUGCACAGAUGAGACAACAUGCUGAUGAGCGAGCCAAGAAGCAUAAGGCUAUGGCUUGUCUACAAAAUGGAGUCUCUAAUGUGAUAUUCACUCGCAUCAUGGCCUGUGACUCACCAAAACAGGCCUGGGAGAAGCUGAAGGAGGAGUUCAUGGGGACUGACAAGACAAGGCAACAGCAGGUGAUCAACCUCAGGAGAGAUUUUGAGAAUGAGGAUGAAGGAGUCUGGGACCAUCAAGCAGUACUCAGACAGGAUAAUGGCCAUUGUCAACAGCAUUAGGCUCCUGGGAGUGGACUUCACAGAGAGCAGAGUUGUUGAAAAGGUCAUCACAACUCUCCCUGAAAAAUUCGAGUAAAAAAUCUCUUCACUUGAGGACUCGAGGGACUUAUCAGCCAUAUCAUUGUCUGAGCUGAUAAACUCCUUGUAUGCACUUGAGCAAAGGAGGGCAAAUAGGUAGGAGGAGAAUCCUGAGGCUGCUUUCCAGGCUAAAGCCAGUGAAGGCUCGAGUGUGAAUGCAAAAGGCAAAAAGUCUUGGCACAAUAGGAAGGCCAAGUCAGGAAGAGAUGAAGCAAAAAGGGUGUUUCCACCAUGUGUUCAUUGUAAGAAGGCAACACAUUCAGAAAAGUAUUGUUGGUUUAGGCCAGAUAUUCAGUGCAGAAAGUGCAAACAGUUUGGCCAUGUGGAGAAGGUGUGCAAGGGCAAACCAAAGGAGGCUGCUCUGCAACAAGCUAGACCUGCUGAAGAUAUGCAAGCUCAAGAGGAGCAUGUAUUCACUGCAACCUAUUUUGUUGGCACAACAAAGGCCAGCAAUGAUUGGCUACUAGACAGUGGCUGCUCACACCAUAUGGCAGCAGAUGAGAAGCUGUUUAAGAGCCUAGACAAAAGUUUCCACUCGAGGAUCAGAAUUGGAGAUGGCAAGCUGAUUGAGGCUAAGGGCAAGGGCAAUGUACUGGUUAGCACUGGUUCAGGUAACAAGCUGAUCUCUGAUGUGCUCUUUGUACCAGACUUAGAUCAGAACCUACUUAGUGUAGGCCAAUUGGUUGAAAAAGGCUAUACUUUGGUCUUUAAAAAUAGUUGUUGUAUUGUUCAAGAUAUGAAUGGUCUGGAGCUAGUCACAGUCUCUAUGACUGAUAGGUGCUUUAUGCUAGAUGUUAGCCAAGUAGAAAGAAAGGCAUGCACUAGUCUUGUUGAUAGUACAAACUUGAGGCAUAGGAGAUUAGGCCAUGCCAAUUUCAGAUCCAUUGAUCUGUUGCAUAAACUGAAUUUGGUUGAUGAUAUUUCAAAAAUUGAGGUUAGUGGAAAUGUUUGUGAAGUUUGUCAGCUUGGUAAGCAAGCGAGACUGCCUUUUCCUACUAACAGUGUUUGGAGAGCUCAACAUAAGCUCGAAUUGGUGCACUCUGAUGUUUGGGGCCCUAUGAGAACAUCUUCAAUCAGUGGCAACAGGUAUUUUGUCCUAUUUAUAGAUGAUUUAACAAGAUUAUGCUGGGUCUACUUCUUGAAGCAGAAGUCAGAAGUGUUUGAAGCCUUCUACAAAUUCAAGGCUUAUGCUGAAAAUCAGUUAGGCUGCAAAAUUAGAGCCUUGAGGACUGAUAAUGGCUCUGAAUAUGUGUCUGAGAGAUUUCAGAAGCUUUGUGACACUGCUGGAAUUCAUCAUCAGCUUAUCACAGUUUAUACUCCUCAGUAGAAUGGAGUUUGUGAAAGGAAAAAUAGGACUGUGCUGAACAUGGCUAAGUGUCUCUUGUUUCAAAGCAAGCUUCCAAGUCAGUUUUGGGCUGAGGCAGUCAACACCUCAGUGUACUUGCUCAAUAGGCUGCCAACUCGAGCAGUCAAGGAUAAAACACCUUUUGAGGCUUGGCAUGGAGUCAAACCAAUUGUGACACACUUGAAAGUGUUUGGAUGUGUGUGUUAUGCUCUUAUUCCAGUAGAGAAGAGGACCAAGCUUGAGAGCAGGGCUACAUCAGGAAUUUUUGUAGGCUAUAGCAGCAACAAGAAGGGUUAUAGGGUGUAUGAUCCUACAGCAAAGAAGGUCUCAGUCAGCAGGGAUGUAAAGUUUGAUGAGGAAAAGGUGUGGAAUUGGAAUGGUGCUGAAGCUGACAUGUCUGAAAUGGACCAGUUGGACUUGGUUAUUGAACCUAUGGAAGAGGGACCAGGAGAAGAUGCUGUGGAUGACACACCAGUGUGGGGAACCAGAACUUUAACUGAUGUCUAUCAGAGGUGUAAUGUUGCUGUAAUUGAGCCUUCAGACUUUGAAGAGGCUGUCAAAGACAGAAGAUGGAUGAAAGCUAUGGAAGCUGAGCUGGAAAUGAUCAACAAAAAUCAAACAUGGGAAUUGGUGAGCAUACUAGAACACAAGAAGGUCAUAAGAGUUAAAUGGGUGUACAGGGCUAAGUACAAUGCUGAUGGCUCACUGAACAAGCACAAGGCCAGGCUUGUGGUGAAGGGCUACAGUCAGCAAUAUGGUGUGGACUUCUUGGAGACAUUUGCACCAGUAGCCAGACUGGAUACAAUCAAGCUAUUAUUUGCUUUAGCAGCUCAGAAGCAGUGGAGAGUUCAUCAAUUGGAUGUGAAGUCAGCAUUUCUAAAUGCCUUUCUCAAGGAGGAGAUCUUUAUUGAGCAACCUAAAGGUUUUGAAGUUGCUGGACAUGAGGACAAAGUGUACAAGUUGAGGAAGGCCCUUUAUGGCCUGAAACAAGCACCAAGGGCCUGGUAUGACAGAGUUGAUGCUUACCUGACCAAGCUUGGAUUUGUGAAGAGUCUUAGUGAGCCUACUCUGUAUGUUAAAAGGUCAGAAUUUGAAACCUUGCUGAUUGUCUCCUUGUAUGUGGAUGAUUUGUUAGUGACAGGGAGCAAGGUUGAGCUCAUUGAUGAGUUCAAGGUUCAAAUGCAGCAAGUAUUUGAGAUGACAGACUUGGGAAUCAUGACAUACUUCCUUGGUAUGGAAGUGCACCAAUCUGAUCGAGGCAUCUUCAUCAGCCAACACACAUUUGCCUUGAAGAUCCUUGAUAAAUUUUGUAUGCAUAACUGUAAAGCAGUUAGCACACCAGUGGCUCAAGGAGAAAAGUUGACAAGCAGUGGUGAUCAGCAAAGGGUGGAUGAAAGACACUAUCGAAGCCUAGUAGGUUGCCUGUUAUAUUUGACAGCAACCAGGCCAGACAUCAUGUAUGGUGUUAGUCUGCUAUCGAGGUUCAUGCACUGCUGUAAUGAGACACAUUUGAAGGCUGCAAAAAGGGUUCUUAGAUACAUCAAAGGGACAGCUAACCUUGGGGUAAUGUUUGAAAGUGGAAAAAAACUGAAAUUGGAAGGUUAUUCUGACAGUGACUGGGCAGGAUCCCUUGAUGACAUGAAGAGUACUUCUGGAUACUUCUUCACACUUGGAUCAGGCAUGUUUUGCUGGAGCUCAAAGAAGCAACAAACUGUUGCUCAGUCCACAGUUGAAGCAGAGUACAUUGCUGCAGCAGUCAAUCAGGCCAUUUGGCUUAGAAAAUUGCUUCAUGAUCUCAAUGAAAUACAAGCUGAUGCAACUAAACUUUGGGUGGACAACCAGUCAGCAGUUGUCAUAGCCAAGAACCCUGUGUUUCAUGGUAAAACUAAACAUUUUAAAAUAAAGUUGCAUUCUGUUAGAGAGGCUGAACAAGCAAAGGAAGUCAGCCUUGUGCAUUGUGGCUCGGGGGCACAAUUGGCUGACAUACUGACCAAGCCCUUAGGAGCUAGUCGAUUUGAAUUAUUGAGAAAUGCAAUUGGAUUGUGUUGCAUAUAGUCCAAGGAGGAGUGUUGAGAGCUGGACUGCAAUGCAACAUGAAGCCAGCAGUAAGCUACUGUCGAGACCAGCAGCACCUACAGAGCUCAGCUCAUUUUGCUUGGUGUGCAAGAAUGAUUUUUGGACCGAAUGAAGCAACCAACAUUGUUGUUUUGUUUUGAUGUAAUUUGGUCUGGUUCAAUCUUAGUUUGCUUGUAAUGUUAGUAGAAGUUAAGUUAGUGAUAAGAUCUUUUGAUGUAAUGGCUGAUUGGUCAGCUAUAUUUGAUUAAUUUUUAGCUAGUGACUAGGUUUGUAUUAGUUGGGGAAAUUAAAUACAUUAGGUAACUGUCAAUGUAUAUUGUAACUUUUUUUAUAUUUCAAUAUUGAAUGAAAAAUUAGUAAUGUUCAGUUACAAUUUUUUCUGAGUGUUCAAACUUUGUUCACUGCUUUUGUUUUGCUUUUCUUUUUGCUUCGAUUCCUCUUGCUUCUGUUUGCAAAUCUGUUUGGUGUUUGCUGCCAUUGUUCCAACAUACCUUAGCUAACAUGAAUAUAAAUUAGAAAUCAUGAACUGAAAUAUUAUAUAGAUAUAUAUAUAUUUACCAACUUUCAAAGGAAAUAUGAAACAUAAAUCAAUGGGUGAACAAAUCAUUGAAGUAAAAUGCAGAUAGUAUUGAGAUGCAAUAUGAUUAAAUCUCUACUUGCUGCCUAUGGCAUGAGUACCAAUGGUGGAACCUAACCAAUUAAGCUAAAUGAUGUCCAUCACUGAUCCUAUGAAUCAAAACCAGCCAAUAACAAGUCACCUGUCAAAAAGAAUUCAAGUAUGAAUCUUAAUCUCUCCUCACUACAAUGCUCAAACAAUAUCAGAGCAGUAACAUAAAAACACACCAUUACCUUCAUCACCUAACGAAUCAAACUGAUAUAAAUAUUGAUCUGCAAAGGAAACUUUUUCUAAUGAUGUGCAGUCCUCUACAUUCAAUUCGAGCAGAUAUGGUGGAAGCUCUAAGAGUAAUUUGAGGCUCUUGCAACGAUCCAUAUGCAUAUACCUAAGGCUUUUAAACCUCAAGCUUGGUGAGCGCACGUCAACAGUUGGAAAUUUAACGAUUGGACAACCACUAAGAUCUAGAACUUCAAGGGAUUUCAACUUUGAAAUAUUGCUUGAUACAUCUUUUACCAUUGAGUCUGCCAAGGUCAACCGUAGAAGUCUGUCGAGAUGCUCAAGGAAAUCAGGUACUUCUUUUAUUCCGGUUUGUAAUAAAUCUAACUCAUAAAAGUUAUUUGGGAUCUCCGGAAACUUCUUGAGACUGCGACAUCCCUUAAGGUGAAGGGUUUUAAGUGAUGUCAAAUGGUCGAGGCGAGGAAGUUCGACCAAACUUUCGCAUUUUUCACAGUCUAGUCUUUCAAGGUUGACGGCUCCUAAUAAAUUAGGGAUCUUCUUUAAAUUUUUGCAUCUGAAAAGUUUAAUUUUUCGUAAAUGAACAAGAUCCUGCAGAUAAUGAGAACAUAAAGUAGUUAGAGCAUCAUUUACUUAGACUAUCAAAACUGGUGUUACUUGCACGCCACAUUAUCUUUUUGAAGAAAGCAAUGAGUUUCAAACUCUGAAGAGAGUUUUUUAUAUACAGCCUCAGCAAGGGUUGUUUUGCCUUGUCCACCCAUUCCCCAAAGUCCUAUUACACGACAGUCUUUUUGCUUAAUCAGCUUCAAAAUCGUCCUUUUCUGAUAUUCUAUUCCAACCAAUUCUUCAGAAACACUUUCAAACCCAAUAUUCGUCAACUUUUUUAUAACGUAUUCAACAACAUCUUUAAUGUACUUGGUUUCAGGUCUAGAAAACAAUAAAAAAUGUAAAUAAGUAAAUAUGAAAUCUAAAACAAAGAUAAGUUGAAAAUAACAAGAUGAGAAAAAUAUAAUUACUUGUCAAAUUUGCCUCCUUCUAUAUGCCACCCUUUUAAUUUACCAACCUCUGCAAAAGCAGUUUUCCAUUGUUGUACUCUAUCAGCUGGUUGCUCUGAUUCAUGCUCUUCGAAGGAUGUCUUAAAAUGCCCACCACUAUUUCGCACAUCGGAAGGAUCAACAUGGUAAAAGACGGGAAGAACAAUAUGUUUGUCAGUGGGAUUGUGCUUGCGAUCCAUGAUGUCAGAAAGUUCACCUAAGCAUGAUUUUGAAUAAGCAUAGGCUUUAGAUACAACGAGGAUUGAGAGAUUUGAGGCCGAAAUUGUUCGAGAAUACGUUGGUGGAAGCUUCUCUCCUUUUUUCAGUGUUUCGUUAUCGGGGAAGACAUUAAUUCCUACUUUUUCCAAAGCAUUGACUAGGUGAUUGGAGAAGUUGAGGCGUGUGUCUUCACCUAAGCUUAAGAAAACUUGAUGCUUCAUCAACUUUUGCAUAACAUACGCAACAAUAUCCUUGAUGUACUGGGUUUCAGGUCUAGCAAAUAAUAAAAGAAGUAUAUAUAUGAAAUCCAAAACGAAGAUAAUUCAAAUAUAAGGAGAUGAGACAAAUAUAGUUACCCAUCCGACCUGCUUCCAUCUAUAUGCCACCCUUGUAAUUUACCAACUUCAGCAAAAGCAGUUUCCCAUUGUUUCACUUCAUCAACUGACCUCUUUGUUUUAUGCUCAUCAAAGGAUUUCUUAAAACUCCCAUCAAUUUUCACCACAUCAGAGGGGUUAACAUGGUAAAAGAUGGGACGAACAAUAUGUUGUCCGAUGCUUUAGCGGUCCAUGAUGUCAGAGAGUUCAACCAAGCAUGAUUUCGAAGUGGCAUAGUCUGCAGACAAAACGAUGAUUGAGAUAUUUGAGACUGCAAUUGCUCGAGAAAGUGCUUGUGAAAGCUGGUCCCCGCUUUCCAGUUUUUCUUCAUCGAAGAAAACAUCAAGUCCCUCGUCUUUCAAAGCUUAAAGUAAGUGAGUGGUGAAAUUAAGACGCGUGUCUUCACCUCUGAAGCUCAAAAAAACAUGAUACUUCAUUAGAGUAGAAGAUGAAGAAGAAGAAGCCAUGAAAGAGUAUUGAUAGUGUGCUUGAAGCAAAAGAGAGAACAAAUAUAGCAAGUGAGUUUUGCUUGGGUUGUGGUAUUAUUGUAAGAAGAAAAAGUGUAAAUGGGAAAGAGAUUGAAGGCCUAGGCAAAAGCACAGGCGACGACUUGAGCUUAGCCAACUAUCCUUUCGUCAACACAGGUGUUACUUGAACGCCACAUUAUAAACUGCACCGCCCAUGAAAUUAGCCAAUUCGGAAAGGGUCAAAUCUUGUUUCAGGUCCCUCUACUAUUCUCAAAUUUGAGAUUUAGUCCUUCUUUAAAAUGAUCUCUUUCUUUUUAUGUUGUCAUUAAUUAAUUCAAAUAGGUAAGGUUGUUAACUAUUCAGGUUAAAAUUUUAGAGUGGAUAAAAAAAAAUCUUUUAUCAUAAAAGAUUCUUGUAAUUUUAAGAAAAAAAAUCAUGUUAUAGUAUUAUUUAUUUAUAUUAAUUAGUUACACAAAAAAAUUAUUUAAAAAUCUUUAAUCAAAAAAGAAAUUCUAGAGAAAGGUUGAGAUAACAAGAGAAACAUGUGGAUUAUCAUACAUGUUUAUCAUUUUUCACUAUUUUUUUAGAAAAACAUUUAUAGUAUAAUUUUCAUUUUGAGUUAUCAAACAUGUUUAAAAUUUUAAAUUACUAAAAAUAUAAUUUCUCAAUUAAAAUUUUUAAUAUUAGUAAAGUUAAGCUAAACAUUUUACGUGAAGAUUUGAUUGGAGAAGUGUUAAAAUCAACUUAAUUGAACGUGACUAAUUUGAUCAAUGUGUUAAAAUGAUUUUUAUCGAUAAAUAAUAUAUUUUAGCAAUUAUGAGAGAAGUUUAAUUCUUAAUUGAUAAUUUGAAAACUUUUCAUUACCUUUCAUGAAUUUUCUAUCUAAGUUGUCAUGACUUAAAUUUUGGGGAGUAUUUUUUUUCAAGCCAAAGACUUUUUCUUUUGGAUCUUGAGAAGGCUCGUGUUAUAUAAAAAAUGUGUAACGAUCCGAUAGUCAGGGUGUCGAAAAGUGUAUUCUCGAGACUUUUAUCCCGUAAAUCGAACUCAUAAAUAUUUACGAAACUAGUUGUGUAGUUAAUUAGGUUUCAGUUAAGUGAAUUCGCUCGAAUUAAAAGUAAUUAGGUAUAAGGACUAAAUUGCAUAUAGGGUUAAAGUUGAAGUAUAGAGCAAAGAAUAAUUAAAGGAACUAAAGAAUUGCUUCUUUAGUAGGACGGCAUUAAUUAAAGUUAUCUCAAGUAUUAAGAAAAUAUAUAUUAUAUAAUAAUAAAUCCACAUUAAGUAAAAGAAAAAGAAAGACAAAGUCAAGAAAUUAAAAAGAAAGAAAGGAGAAAAGAAGAGACGCAAGCAAGGCUAUGGCCCCAAAAUUUUCCAAGUUUAAUUGGUUAGUAUAUUUAACUCUAUUUCUUGUAAUCUUCAUGUUUUUGGAAUCCUAGUGCUAUGUAUUACUCGAUUCAUGUUGAAAUUUUAGCAUUAAUUGAGUUUUUAAAGGUUGCUAAUGUUGAAUAAUUUUAGUAUUAAUAAUUAAAUUGAUAGAUUUUAAGCUAGAAGUGAAAAAGGAUUAAAUUGUAAAAUAGAUUGUAAAAUUUGAGUAAUAGGGACUAAAUUGUGAAAUUUUCAAAGAUUAGGGAUUUAAGUGAAAAUAGGAAGUUAAAUUUAGUUUAAAGUAGAAUUUGUAUGAAAAUAUAUAAUUAAAUGUGAAGAAUAAAAAUUAGUUUUGGUUUAGGGGCUAAAUUAAAAUUUAGGCAAAUAUUGAGUAAAAAUUAAAAUAUUCAAUAUGAAAUUGAAUUAUGUUGUAUUGAUGAAUUUUCAUUGUUUUAAUUCUGUAGCUAACGUCGUACCGGAAUCCUCGAUUAAAAAAGGAAAAGAUAAGGUCGACGUCGAAUAGUUCGGAAUUCUUGGUUUGUAUUUCUAUAAUCUGAAUUAAGUUGUAAAAUUAUUGCAUUUUGAUUUAUUGUAUAUGGUAAGUAUUGAAGGUGAAAACUAUUGUGUUUUACAAUUGAAAUGGAUUGAUUCAGUAAGUCAUAAAUUUAUUAAAUUUAUAUGAAUUGAAUUAAAUUCAUAUGUAUAUAUGUGAUAAUGUGAUUAUAUGAAAAUUUGAUAUUGGAUAUUGGUUAUAUUUGAAAAGUGAAUUGGAACUCUAUUAACUGUAUUGGGCUAAGUUGGAUAUAAAUGACAUGCCAUAGGAUAGGAAGAGUUCAGGAAUUUAUUUGACUUUGAUUCGAUAAGGCACUGGGUGCCAAUUUACUUCGGUUUAACCGAUGAGACACUGGGUGUCAAUGUAUAUAGCACUGGGCGCAUAUUACUUCGGAUUUAUCCGAUGAGACACUGGGUGCCAAACUGGUGUGUUGGUUAAAUCCGUGUAUCCGUCCGAAUCCAAGUCGCGUUAAUAGGGUAAUUAAAUAAAACGAUACUAUGAUUGAUAUUGGAUGAUAUUGCAUGUGAAUUGAAAAUGAGAUAGUGAAUUGAAACAUGAAAAUGAGAUACAUGAAUUAUGUAUUCAUGAAUUGGAUAUGGAAUAGAUCAUGUUAUGUGGAUCAAAUUGUGAAAAGCUAUUAUAUAGCAAGUGAUGAGAAUUGAGUAUGGUAUGAAAUGGUGCAUUUAUGAAUUGAGUAUUAAAUGGCUAAUGUCAUUGUAUGAAUAAAUGUGGUUUUAAUUACUCAAUUGUCCUUAUAAUUAAUAUGUCUAUAUUAUAUUAUUAUAUUUUUAAAUAUUCAGAUUAUAAAAUAUCACUGAGUUUUACUCGAUGUACGAUUUUGUUUUCCGUGCGCAGAUUAGGUACUUAACUUUUGAUCGCCAAUUCAGAAUCCAACAACGAUCCUAACCUCAAAUGUAGUGAUAUUUACCUUUUGUGUUGGCAUGUACCUAGGGUGUCUAAAUAACAGUUAUUUUGUGGAUUGAUUGUAAAUAAGGUUAUAAGCUUAAUAUUAGUUCGAUAUAUAUAAACGUGUUUGUUUUUGAAGCCAUAUUAUAUCAUGGUAUAUUGAAUUAAACCUAGAUAUGUGUAUGUGAGUUUAAGUUGAUGUAUAAGUGCUCAUGAACUAGGCAAAACGAAUUGAAUUUGGUAUUUUUAUAAUUUGGAUUUGAAUGAUGCUUUGAUGAUAUGUUUUGAUGCUAUAAAUGUGGUACCAAUGAGGAUACAUUGGUUAGGCACCUAGAAUGAUUGUUUUGGCAUGUUUUGAAUGUUUUUGAUCAUGUUUUGAACGUUGAAUGAAUGGUUUUUGAGUUAUUUAAUGUCCUAACUUGUAAGAAAUGGUAAAUUUGUUAUUUAAGGCACAUUUUAGGUCCAUACGGCCAAACACACGGGCGCGUGACUCGGUCGUGUAAGACACAAGGCUAGCACACAGGCGUGUGAGACCAUUUUGAAAGGGAACACGGCCUGGCACACAGGCGUGUGGCCAAAGUCAGGGAAUUACAUAGGCAUAGACAUGGGCUGGGACACGACCAUGUGUCCCUAUUUCAAAUAUUUGAAAACAAGUCUUAAAUUUUAUUUAAAUUUACUUUUAAACUUCAUAUUUUAUACAAUAUCUUCAAAUUUGAAUGAUUAAUUUUUUAUUUUGGUAGAAAAGAACUUAGGACUAGCCUAAGGGAACAACAAGAUUACACCCUUUUUACCAAGGGCAGUCGAGAAACAAAACCGGCAAAAUCCUUGAAAGGCAUCGAUGUCAAACCACCAUGAAACAUGGAGGACAAAAACGAGGUCAGGAGCACCCCUCCCACCAUUGCAGCGACUAACCUCAAACAACUUACACUUAAAAUGCCUUCAAAUCAACUUACAAGCUAACUUUAAUUAACUAAAAAGAUAGUUCUCUUUUGUUCUAAAGUUCAAUGUAAUGUCAAACACCCCAGACAAAUUCCAAAGCCUAAGACAACAAAUUGUGACAAUGUGACAGCUAAACAGUUAAAAACAUACCUGGAAAACAACAUGAACUGGUGCGGAGAAGAACAAUCUAGGUAAAAGAUGUAAUAAGUCAAUGAAAGAACUCAUUUCUGGUUCAUGUUACCUUAGUGUCCAACUAUGAGUGUCGAAUCCACAUAUUCAACACUUGCACGAGAUCAUAGUAGCAAAUACGUGUCCAACUUUAAAACACCCAUUUAACAUAAAUUUAUGAAUAUAGCCUGGUCCUUGACCUAUUACCCCCUAACUAUACCCCUCCUUUUCCAUAAAAAAAAAGAUUAAAUUACCUUAAUAAGAUGUUAUAGGCAGCAUUGUAGUAUGUAAUUCAGCUCAAUUCCCUACUAAAUUCCCAACAUUUGCCACCAAUAUGAUUUUAAAACACCAUAGUCAUACAUAAGUCACAAGCAAAACUCAUUCUACCAUAAUCUUAUACGGUGUUGUCAACAGUGCAAGGUGCACCGUAGACGUUAGAACCAUUAUAUUGCCUUGAGUGCAAGGUGCAAAAAGACUAGCCUGAGUGAAGUAAAGCGCAAUAUACAUAUGUCCAUUUUUGGUGUCUACACACACAAACAUAUAUGUUUAUAUAUAGCUUAAGAUAUAUAAUAAACUCUACAUUGUGGUCUUUAUCUACAACAUAUGCAUAUUAUUUAUUGGUCAAUAUACAUGAUUUCUUAUCAUCCAUGUCUGCUGUUGAACACUCAUGAUUGAGAAGUACAGAGUUUGAUACUGUGCCUUCCUUACUAGCAAAGGAAUAUCAAAUGAAAAAAGUGAAAAAUAGAAGAAAGUAAAGGGAACUUCAAUGAGGCAGUUUUUUCUUAAUGCCUAUUGUCUUACAAAAGAGUGCGCCUAGGCACACUGCGCAUGCAUCAGAUUAAACGAGCCUGACCCGAAAGGGUCUCACACACUUCUAUUAUCUAAUGCUCAGGCACGAGGCACCAGAGUUCCUAGGUGCACACCUUAACAAUACUGAUCUUCUAAAUGUGUUGCAUCCAGUUCAACAUAUGCAGAUAAAAGUCUUUUUUUGUAUAGCUAAAGCUCAAAGCAUACUACCCAAAUAUCUGUCAUUCCCUCUUGACUCUGUUUUUACAAACUCUACAGGUCAGUCAUAUAAUUCUAAGAGAUAAAGCACAACAAAAAACAACCACCUAGAUCAAGAUAAAAUCACAGAUUAUAACACAAACCAAUCUCACACAUGAGAAAAUCACAGAUUACAACAAAAAGCAAGCUCACACAUAAGCAGACUUUUAAAUUAACAUAUAGAUAUAGGGAAUAGUUGGAUGGAAUAAAAAUCAGAAAUCAGGUGAUCCGAAUUAAUAAAAUAUUCCCUAACUUUUAAAAGAAAUAUGAAACAGAAAUCAAUGGAUGAAGAUAUCAUUGAAGUAAAAUGUAGAGAGUAUUAGAUACGAGAUUAUUAGGGUUUAAUAUAGUUGUGGUAUACGUUAGUUUCUGUUAUAGCAACUGUUAUAGUUAGUUACAGUAGUAGUUAAGGAACGGUUUAUCCUAGCAUUAAAUAUGUGUAACACACUCAAGUUAAUCAUCAUGAAUACAGCAUUCUAUUUCUUGAAUACUCUGAAUCUUAACAUGGUAUCAAGAGCUAGGUUUCUUUUGUUGUAAACAAAGUUUUUUUUCUCCUUUUUUGAUGGCUACAGAUGCUGUUCUAGACGGAGUGCAAGUACCUGAGACACCUCGACACUCUUCCAACACUAGGGAGGCUGCACAUUCACAGGGAAAUGACGUGGUUUGUGCAUCGACAGUCCAUUAUUUCUCCAAGCAUGACACCAUCAAACUGUCAUCACAUAACUUUCUGUUAUGGAAACAUCAACUUUUGUUGAUUCUUGAAGGAUAUGGGCUUGAAGGGUUUGUUCUCGGUACUAUUUCCUCUCCUCCUGCUGUUGUUGUUGAUUCUGAUGGUCAACAGGUCGAAAAUCCAGCAUUUGUUGUUCAUAGGAAACAAGAUAAGUUUCUCGCUUCCUGGCUAUCUUAGUUCAUCUCACUAAUGCUAAAACUAGUUGUGCUAUAUGGAACACCAUUGAAAAACGGUUUAGUGCAAAGUCCUCUCUAAAGAUCUCGAGCAUGCGUCAUGCGUUAUAUUCCCUAAAUAAAACAAAUCUUUCUGUUAAAGAUUACAUGGCUAAGGUGAAACAGCUUAGUGAUGAUUUAACUGCUGCUGGGAGUCCUAUAUCUGAGCAAGAACAGAUAAGUGUCAUCUUAGCUGGUUUGUCGGUUGAUUUUGAGUCUGUUCGGAUAUUUUCCUCUGUUACUCCUCUCUCUCUUGACUUGUUAACUGAAAUGUUACUCGACUGUGAAUCACGUCAAUUGGAGUUGUCUACAGAAGGUUCUUGUCAAGCAAAUUUGGCAACACGACAAUCUAGUAGUGAGGCUGUUUUGAAACAGUCCUCUGAGUCUUCAAACUAUUCUCAAGAGUCUAAACAACCCUAUAGAGGACAGGGUCAAGGUUUCUCUCAGGGACGAUCUCGUAGUAAUGGUCGGGGUUGGUCUCGUAGCAAGCCACAGUGCCAAUUGUGUGGUAAGGUGGGGCAUCUGGUUCAAACCUAUUUUCACAGAUUUGAUGAAAAUUUUUCAGGUGUUGCAGCGUCCGAUACAGUCCAGGUCAACUGUCAUCAACUGCAUGGCUCUAGUUGCUCUUCCUCGGCUCCUGCUUGUCAAACAGUCUUACAUUGCUGUGGUUCCUCUAGUCACUGUCAACCGGCUGUAACUUCACAAUCAGAAUCUGUUUGGUAUCCUGAUUCGGGAGCUACAAACCAUAUUACACCGGAUGUGUCUGGUCUCACUAAUGCCGCUCCAUAUGCAGGUACGAGUCAUGUCACUAUGGGUAAUGGUGCAUUUAUUUCAAUUGCUAAUGUAGGCUCGUCCUCUCUCUUAACUGGUACAAGACUUCUCAAGCUGCAGAAUGUGUUACAUGUUCCUGCUGUAUGUAAGAACUUGAUGUCUGUUGGGCAAUUUGCAAAGGAUAACAGUGUUUAUUUUGAAUUUCACCCAUUCUUGUGCUUUGUGAAGGACAUUCAGACAGGGAUGACGCUACUCGAGGGCCACAUGCAUGAAGGUUUAUACCGUUUCCAAUUCACCACGCCCACUUCUGUUGCUGCUCCGUCUCCUUUGAAAUCUAGUUCGAAACGCAGUUCUACUUUGGUGAACAGUGCGCAGCUGUCUUCUACUUUGUGGCACGAUAGACUUGGCCAUCCUUGUAAUGGUAUUUUAACCCGGGUGUUAAGAUCUUGUAAUAUUCCUUAUAAAAAAUGUUUUGAGUCAUGUUUGUACAGCCUGUCAAGUGGGAAAAGCUCACAAGCUUCCCUUUUCUACUUCAAACACUUUGUAUUCGGUCCCCUUUGCACUUGUGGUAUCCGAUGUAUGGGGGCCUGCACAUUUACCUUCAAAUGGAUUUCGUUACUACAUCUCCUUUGUUGACAUGUAUAGUCGGUAUACCUGGCUCUACUUUCUCAAAAACAAGUCUGAUGUGACUCAGUGUUUCUUGGAUUUUCAUCAGAUGGUACGAGUACAAUUUGGUUGUUCUAUUAAAAGUCUCCAAACGGAUGGGGGAGGUGAAUAUCGUGCUUUGUCUCCGCUCUUAUCUCGGCUUGGGGUUCAGUACAGGAUUACAUGUCCGUAUACCUCGAAGCAAAAUGAUGUUACCGAGAGGAAACAUCGUCAGAUAGUUGACAUGGGGUUUUCGUUGUUGGCACGGGCCAGCAUUCCUCUCCAGUUUUGGUUCCAUGCUUUUGUGCAUGCUGUUUAUCUGACUAACAGGCUUCCUACUCCGAUUUUGGGUCAUUUUAGUCCGUAUGAAGUGCUUUAUAAAGUCAAACCAGAUUAUAGCUCACUCAAGGUGUUUGGAUGCUCUUGCUUUCCCGAUCUUCGACCUUUUUAACGACAUAAAUUGAGCUUUCGUUCACAACAAUGUGUUUUUCUUGGGAUGGUACCUCACACUAAAGGCUACCGGUGUCUUGCUGCUGAUGGUCGAAUAUUUUUGUCGAGGCAUGUAAAAUUUGAUGAAACUAAGUUCCCUUAUCAUGAUGAUUUCAGCAAGGAGUUCCCAGAAAUAAGGGAAAAUCGGUGUACGUAUGUUCUUCCGUUAGUCACACCCAAUACUGGUGUCAUCAGCCAAGCACAACCUCUCUUGCGCUCUAGCCUGGGAACUGUUUCAGAUCAGUCACAUCUUAAUCAGCAUUCAGCUAGUACUUCAGCUGACUCAACUACAGGAGUUUCUUCUGAUCAGCUGAUUUCACAGCAACCAUCUCUCGGUAUGUUUGUUGAUCCCAUUACAAUAGUUGAGGAGUCUACUGUUGGUGAUCAGGCUGAACAGACUGUAGCAACUUCAUCUACUGCAAUACCUUCCAACUGUCACCCGAUGCAAACUCGCUCCAAGAGUGGUAUAUUUCGACCGAAAGUUUUUUCUUCUGUCCUAGAUGAGACCGAGCCUUCUACCAUUACAGAAGCUUUUCAGAGUCCUGCCUGGACUGCAGCAGCCAAUGAUGAGUACAGUGCGCUGCUUGCCAACCACACAUGGGAUCUUGUCUCCUUACCAGCAGGUCGUCGUGCUGUUGGUUACAAAUGGAUUUUCCGGAUUAAGAGACAUGCGGAUGGAACCAUCGCUCGGUACAAGGGCAGAUUAGUUGUUAAAGGGUAUUUGCAAGAAGCUGGGGUGGAUUUUCAGGAAACAUUCAGUCCUGUUGUCAAACCGACCUCCAUUCGAGUUGUUAUAGCAUUGGCCGUGUCUCUCAAUUGGCCUCUUCGGCAAGUAGAUAUAAACAACGCAUUCUUAAAUGGGGAUUUAAGUGAGGACAUCUACAUGGUUCAACCACCGGGUUUUGAACAAAGUGGCUCAAAUGGUGAACUUCUGGUCUGUAAGUUAAAAAAGGCUCUAUACGGUCUCAAGCAAGCUCCUAGAGCUUGGUUUCAGAAGCUAAGGGAAUUUUUAGUUUCCAUGAACUUUGAAGUAUCCAAAGCUGAUGGCUCUCUCUUAAUCCUUCGAUCAGGAGAACGGUUGAUGUAUGUGCUAGUUUAUGUUGAUGACAUCAUUGUCACUGGCAAUGAUGCUCAGGCUAUAGAUCAGUUUGUCAGUCAAUUGAAUGCUCGAUUCUCUUUAAAGGACCUAGGAAAACUUAACUAUUUCCUAGGCAUAGAGGUUCAAUACUGUUGAAGUUGGUCAGCAUGAAGCCAACACUCGAUUCCAUACAGGCCAUGAAGACCAAGCAAAGCUGGAACAGAUGCAAGGGCUGCUGAUGCAAGCUCAUUUUGUUCAUUUUGUUAUAUUUAGUUGAUGAAAUGAGUGUUAGUUCAUUUCUAACUAAGUUAGCUUUCUGAUUGAUGUAAUUAGCUUAUGUAUGAGCUGUAAACACAGUUUUGUAUAAGUUUACAAGCUAAGAUUUCAAGUUUCUAUGUAAUUAGUGGAGGUAGGUAAUUACUUGUUGAUUUUGACAAGCCUUAUGCUUGAGUUAUGUACUGGCUUCAAGCCAUUGUUUUAUGUAUGAAUGAAAUCAGUUUUGUUCAUCAAUAUUUUCUCAAAUUUUCCCAGCUUAUUCUCUUCUUUCUUUAACUCGAAAUUGUUUGUUUGCUCAGCAAGUUUUGAGGCUUGCUCGACAAGAUACUUGCUGAGUCUGCUUGAUUCUGUUGUUGCACCAACAAUUGGUAUCUAGAGCCUAUUUCUUAAGGGAUCUGUUACUCAAUUCCAUGGCUUCAUCAAGCUUUUCACCAGCUGCACCUCAAGUCUUCAAUGGAGAAGGCUAUCACAUAUGGGUGGUCAAAAUGAAGACCUACCUGCAGGCUUUCUAUCUGUGGGAGGUGGUCAACUUUGAUGUUGAACCAGAGCCACUUAGAGCUAAUCCAACAGUGGCUCAGAUCAGGCAGCAUGCUGAUGAAAGGACCAAGAGGCACAAAGCUAUGUCUUACAUCCAAAACUCAGUGUCUGAUGUAAUUUUCACAAGGAUUAUGGCCUGUGAAUCACCAAAACAGGCCUGGGACAAGUUGCAGGAAGAGUUUCAAGGGACAGAGAGGACAAGGUAGCAACAGUUGUUAAACUUGAGGAGAGAUUUCGAGAAUUUGAAGAUGAAGGAAGAAGAAACUGUCAAGCAAUAUUCUGACAGGAUUAUGGCUGUGGUUAACAGCAUCAGGCUCCUUGGAGAGCAGUUCAAUGAAGCUAGGAUAGUGGAGAAGGUUAUAGCAACUCUGCCUGAGAGGUAUGAGGCAAAAAUCUCAUCUCUCGAGGACUCAAGGGAUCUGUCCACCAUCUCCCUGACAGAGUUGAUCAAUGCUCUAUAUGCUCAAGAGCAGAGGAGAGCAAGCAGACUGGAGGAGCACCAAGAAGGUGCCUUUCAGGCAAGAACAAAUACUGCCUACAAAGGCAAGAAGGCCUGGAGAGACAAGCCAAAGAAUGAUGCUGCAAGGAGAGAAGGUCAGACUUGCAAGCACUGUAGAAAGGCUGGUCAUUCAGAAGAAAAAUGCUGGUUCAAUCCAGAUGCUGUGUGUCAGCAUUGUAAGAAGAAGGGUCAUGUUGAGAGAGUCUGUAAGAGUAAGACUAAAUCGAGGCAAAAUCAGUUUCAACAGAUGAAAGCUGAGGCUCGAGUAGCUAAGGAGGACAGUGACCAAGAGGAGCAAGUCUUUGCUGUGUCAUGCUCAGCUGCUCAGGAAAGGCUCUCAUCUGGUUGGCUCCUAGACAGUGGAUGCACCAACCACAUGACACCUGAUGCUGCAAUCUUCAAGUCUUUAGACAGAAGCUGCAGAACUAAAGUCAAGAUAGGAAAUGGUCAUUUUAUUCAAGCUGAAGGCAAGGGUGAUGUGCUGAUAUGCACCAUUACAGGUACCAAAGUGAUUUCAAAUGUGCUGUUGGUGCCUGAAAUUGACAGAAACCUCCUCAGCAUAGCUCAGUUGCUGGAAAAAGGUUAUUCAGUUGUGUUUAAAGACCACCAGUGCCAAAUCAGUGAUCCAAGUGGAUCCAAACUGAUGGCAGUCCCUAUGGCUGAUAAGAGCUUUGUGGUUGACUGGACAAAAAAGUCAGACAUUGCCUACACAGCCACUUCAGAUGAAUCCAAGCUGUGGCAUCAAAGACUGGGACAUGCCAACUUCAGAUCGAUGGCUCGAAUGGUCAGAGAGGACCUAGCUGAAAAUUUCAUCAACUCAGUGGACCAUGAUGAUGUAUGUGAUGUAUGUCAGCUAGGAAAGCAGGCCAGACUCCCUUUUCCCUCGAAUCAAGCCUGGAGAGCCUCUGAAAAACUCCAACUGGUGCAUAAUGAUGUGUGUGGCCCUAUGAAGACUGAGUCAUUAAGUGGAAACAGGUAUUUCAUACUGUUCAUUGAUGAUUUCUCGAGAUAUUGCUGGAUUUACUUUUUAAAACAGAAAUCAGAAGUGGCCUCAGUGUUUUGGAAGUUCAAGACUGCUUCUGAGACUGAAACAGGCUGCAAGCUGAAGACCAUAAGGUCUGAUAAUAGGACUGAGUACACCUCAGCUCAGUUCCAAGCCUUCUGUGAUAAGGCAGGCAUCAAACAUCAACUUACCAACACAUAUACACCUCAGCAGAAUGGGGUAAGUGAAAGGAAGAAUAGGAGUUUGAUGGAUAUGGCCAGGUGCUUGAUGAUUCAGAAAAAUCUGCCUAAAGCACUAUGGGCAGAAGCAGUUAACACUGCAACAUACAUUUAAAAUAGACUUCCAACCAAGGCUUUGGAUCAAAAGACCCCAUUCGAGGCCUGGUUUAGCUUCAAGCCAUCAUUGGCUCAUCUGAAGGUCUUUGGAUGCAUCUGUUAUGCACAUGUACCUGCUGUUAAAAGGGACAAAUUGUCUGAAAGGGCUCGACCUGGUGUUUUGGUGGGGUAUAGCACUGUUAAGAAGGGCUAUAGGAUUUUAGAUCCUUCAACAAACAAAGUGUCAAUAAGCAGGGAUGUGGUAUUUGAUGAGAGGUCAUGUUGGAACUGGGAAAGACAUGAACCUGAAGAAGUUUCUGAAGAACUUGCAGUAGACCAAGCUGAGCCAGACCAAAAUGUCCCUGAAAUGGAUAUUGAUGAUGAACCAGUCAGAGGAACAAGGUCAUUGGCUGAGGUUUAUGAAAGGGCUCAUGUAGCCAUAGCUGAACCAAGCAACUUUGAAGAGGCUGAGGCUCAACAAGGGUGGAAGCAGGCAAUGGCUGAGGAGAUCAGCAUGAUUGAGAAGAACCAGACCUGGAAAUUGGUUGAAAGGCCAGUCAAAAGGAAGGUGAUUGGGGUGAAAUGGGUGUACAAAGCCAAGCAGAAUGCUGAUGGUACCUUGAACAAGCUAAAAGCAAGGCUAGUGGUCAAGGGGUUCAGUCAGAGGUAUGGCUUGGACUACUUGGAGACCUUUGCACCAGUGGCCAGGCUCGACACCAUCAGACUGCUGAUUGCCUUAGCAGCACAGCUCGAAUGGAAGAUCCAUCAACUUGAUGUGAAAUCAGCCUUUCUGAAUGGUUUCUUAGAUGAAGACAUCUAUGUUGAACAACCACAAGGGUUUGAAAUAGCUGGCAGAGAGCAUAUGGUCUACAAAUUGAAGAAGGCCCUAUAUGGCUUAAAACAGGCUCCAAGGGCCUGGUACAGCAGAAUCGAUGGCUACUUGACUGAUCUGGGAUUCAAUCGAAGCAAGAGUAGCCAACACUGUAUGUCAAGAAGCAAGGGACACAAACACAACUCAUUGUCUCCCUAUAUGUUGAUGACCUGCUGGUGACAGGAGGAGAUCAAGCAGUGCUGGUUAAUUUCAAGACCAAGAUGCAAGAGGUGUUUGAAAUGUCUGAUCUUGGGGAGAUGUCCUAUUUUCUUGGAAUGGAGGUGACUCAAGCACAGAAUGGGAUAUUUUUAAGUCAGAAGAGCUUUGCCACAAAGAUUCUGACCAAGUUCUCCAUGCAAAACUGCAAACCAACUAAAACACCUGUUGCUGUUGGAGAAAAACUAUCGAGCCAAGGAGAUUUUGAGAAGGUAUGUGAAACUACCUACAGGAGUCUAGUUGGUUGUUUGCUAUACUUGACUGCCACUAGACCAGACAUAAUGUAUGCUGUAGGAUUGCUCUCAAGGUUCUUGCAUUGUUGCAAUGAGAAGCAUUUCCAGGCUGCCAAGAGAGUGCUCAGAUAUGUCAAAGGCACUUUGGACUAUGGCUUAAGGUACAGCAAGAAAGGAAAUCUAAAUCUAGUUGGGUACACUGAUAGUGACUGGGCUGGAUCGAUAGAUGACAUGAAAAGCACCUCAGGGUAUGCUUUCAACCUUGGUUCAGCUAUGUUCUGCUGGAGCUCGAAGAAGCAAAGUCUGGUGGCACAAUCUACUGCUGAAGCAGAGUAUGUGGCAGCAGCAAGUGCUGUCAACCAAGCCAUUUGGCUUAGGAAAAUCCUGGCUGAUUUGAAUAUGGAUCAAAGGGAAGCAACAGAGAUCUUCUGUGACAAUCAAUCUACUGUUGCAAUUGCCAAAAAUCCUGUGUUCCAUGGAAGAACAAAGCAUUUUAGCAUUAAGCUAUAUGUUGUUCGAGAAAUGGAGCAAGCUCAGGAAGUGAAGCUAAUUCACUGCAAUUCAGAGGACCAGCUUGCAGACAUUUUGACUAAAGCCCUUAAUGUCACAAGGUUUGAGCAUUUAAGAAGAAAAUUAGGUGUUUGCACCAUGCUAACCAAGGAGGAGUGUUGAAGUUGGUCAGCAUGAAGCCAACACUCGAUUCCAUACAGGCCAUGAAGACCAAGCAAAGCUGGAACAGAUGCAAGGGCUGCUGAUGCAAGCUCAUUUUGUUCAUUUUGUUAUAUUUAGUUGAUGAAAUGAGUGUUAGUUCAUUUCUAACUAAGUUAGCUUUCUGAUUGAUGUAAUUAGCUUAUGUAUGAGCUGUAAACACAGUUUUGUAUAAGUUUACAAGCUAAGAUUUCAAGUUUCUAUGUAAUUAGUGGAGGUAGGUAAUUACUUGUUGAUUUUGACAAGCCUUAUGCUUGAGUUAUGUACUGGCUUCAAGCCAUUGUUUUAUGUAUGAAUGAAAUCAGUUUUGUUCAUCAAUAUUCUCUCAAAUUUUCCCAGCUUAUUCUCUUCUUUCUUUAACUCGAAAUUGUUUGUUUGCUCAGCAAGUUUUGAGGCUUGCUCGACAAGAUACUUGCUGAGUCUGCUUGAUUCUGUUGUUGCACGAACAAAUACACAGCAGAAGGAGUAUAUCUAUCGCAAAUGAAGUACAUCCAGGACCUACUUUGUAAAGCGUCUAUGGAUCGGUCUAAUUCUCUUCCUACACCGAUGGUAACAAACUGUUACCUUUCAGCCAUAGGUGGAAAUCCAAUCAAUGAUGAACAUCAGUACAGAAGUAUUGUUGGCGAUUUGCAGUAUGUGGUGAUAACCAGGCUCGACAUUGCCUACUCCGUAAAUAAGGUGUGCCAGUUCAUGCAUAAGCCGUUAGACAUGCAUUUUCAAGCAGUCAAAAGAAUAUUGCGGUAUCUACAAGGGACGAUGCACUAUGGCUUAAAGUUUACUCGAGCCUCGCGGUUUCUUCUUGAAGGCUAUUCAGACGCUAGCUGGGGGUCUGAUGUUGAUGAUCGUAGAUCAACUUCAGGUUAUUGCAUCUUUUUUGGAGGAAAUCUGAUCUCUUGGAGUUCCAAGAAAUAGCAAGUGGUCUCCCGCUCCACUGCAGAGGCAGAAUACAGAAGUGUUGCUCAUUAGGCAGCUGAGAUAACAUGGGUACAGUCAUUAUUACGUGAGUUAUGUGCUCCAGUGCAGCCAAAGGCCUUGAUCUGGUAUGAUAGUUCAGCAGCAGUGGCAGUAGCUGGCAACCCAGUUAUGCAUUAAAAAUUCAAACACGUAGAGCUAGACGUAUUUUUUGUCAGAGAAAAGGUAGCCGCAGGGGUCCUUCAGGUUGGACAUGUUCCAGGAUCCUAUCAGAUAGCAGACAUCCUAACGAAACCACUGCCUUUGUCUGUCUUAAAUAAGUUUCGAGGGCAGCUUUGGGUUGUGAAUAUCACGUGAAAUGAGUUGUUUUUGGUAGCAAGCUGUUAGAUAAGUAUGGGGAAUAUUAGGGUUUAAUAUAGUUGUGUUAUACGUUAGUUUCUGUUAUAGCAAUUGUUAUAGUUAGUUACAGUAGUAGUUAAGGAACGGUUUCUCCUAGCAUUAAAUAUGUGUAACACACUCAAGUUAAUCAUCAUGAAUACAGCAUUCUAUUUCUUGAAUACUCUGAAUCUUAACAAGCACCAAUGCUGCAAACUAAAACAAUUAGGUUGAAUGAAUUCCACCACUGAUCCUAUGAAUUAAAACCAAUCAAUAUCGAUAAAAAACCAUUAUUGUAACUGUAUAGAAUUAUGUUGGAACAAUGACAGCAGCAAACAUCAAAGCAAAUUUGCAACUCAGUGUUUGCAAGACUGAAGCAAGAAGAAUCAAGGCAAGCAAAGCAUCAAAAAUCAAAAUACUCAGCAAUGUUUGUGACUGAACAUACAUCAUUUUUCAUUCAACUUGAAAUAUAUAAAAGAGUUACAAUUGUACAUUGACAGUUACCUAAUGUAUUUAACUGCCCCAACUAAUACAAACCUAAUCACUAGCCAAAAAAUAAUCAAACAUAGCUGACCAAUCAGCCAUUACAUCAAAAGAUCUUGUCACUAACUUAAGUUUAACUAGCAUUACAAACAAACUAAAGUUGAACUGAAUCAAAUUACAUCAAAACAAAACAGCAAAGUUGGUUGCUUCAUUCAGUUCAAAAACCAUUCGUGCGCACCAAGCAAAACGAGCUGAGCUCGAUAGCUGCUGGUCUCGACAGUAGCAAGCUUUUGGCUCCAUGUUGCAUUGCAGUCCAGCUUUCAACACUCCUCCUUGGACUGUAUGCAACACAUUCCAAUUGCACUUCUCAAAGAUUCAAAUCGAGCAGCCCCUAAGGGCUUGGUCAUUAUGUCAGCCAAUUGUGCUCCUGAGCUGCAAUGCACAAGGUUGACUUCCUUUGCUUGUUCAGCCUCUCUAACAAAAUGCAAUUUGAUCUUAAAAUGCUUAUUCUUGCCAUGGAACACAGGGUUCUUGGCUAUUGCAACUGCAGACUGAUUGUCCACCCAGAUUUCAGUUGCUUCAUCUUGAGUUUCAUUAAGGUCAUAAAGCAGCUUUCUUAGCCAAAUGGCCUGAUUAACUGCUCCUGCUGCAGCAAUGUACUCUGCUUCAGCUGUGGACUGAGCAAUAGUUUGUUGCUUCUUAGAACUCCAGCAAAACAAGCCCGAUCCAAGUGUGAAGAAGUAUCCAGAGGUACUCUUCAUGUCAUCGAGAGAUCCUGCCCAGUCGCUGUCAGAGUAGCCUUCUAAUUUCAGUUGGUUCUGACUUUCAAACAUUACACCAAAACUAGCAGUGCCCUCGAUGUAUCUAAGGAUCCUCUUUGCUGCCUUCAAAUGUGCCUCAUUGCAACAAUGCAUAAAUCUUGAUAACAGGCUGACACCAAACAUGAUAUCUGGCCUGGUUGCUGUUAGAUACAACAGACAACCAACCAGGCUUCGAUAGUGCCUCUCAUCAACCCUCUGCUGAUCACCACUGCUAGUCAGCUUUUCUCCUUGAGCCACAGGUGUGCUGACUGCUUUACAGUUAUGCAUGCAAAAUUUGUCUAGAAUCUUCAAAGCAAAUGAGUGUUGGCUGAUGAAGAUACCUCGAUCAGAUUGGUGCACUUCCAUGCCAAGGAAGUAAGUCAUGAUCCCCAAAUCUGUCAUCUCAAACACUUGCUGCAUUUGGACCUUGAACUGAUCAAUGAGCUCGAUUUUGCUCCCUGUCACAAGCAAAUCAUCCACAUACAAGGAGACUAUCAGCAAGGUUUCAUGUUCUGACUUUUUAACAUAUAGAGUAGGCUCACUAAGGCUCUUUACAAAUCCAAGUUUGGUCAGGUAGGCAUCAACUCUGUCAUACCAGGCCCUUGGUGCCUGUUUCAGGCCAUAGAGGGCCUUUCUCAACUUAUACACUUUGUCUUUAUGUCCAACAACUUCAAAACCUUCAGGUUGCUCGAUGAAGAUCUCCUCCUUGAGAAAACCAUUCAGGAAUGCUGAUUUGACAUCCAAUUGGUGAACUCUCCACUGCUUCUGAGCUGCUAAAGCAAACAGCAGCUUAAUUGUAUCCAGUCUUUCCACUGGAGCAAAAGUUUCUAGGUAGUCAACACCAUACUGCUGACUGUAGCCCUUCACCACAAGCCUGGCCUUGUGCUUGUUCAGUGAGCCAUCAGCAUUGUACUUGGCCCGAUACACCCAUUUAACUCCUAUGACCCUCUUGUGUUCUGGUCUGCUCACCAACUCCCAAGUCUGAUUUUUGUUGAUCAUUUCCAACUCAGCUUCCAUAGCUUUCAUCCAGCUUCUGUUUUUAGCAGCCUCUUCAAAGUCUGAGGGCUCAAUCACAGCAACAUUGCACCUCUGAUAAACAUCAACCAAAGUUCUGGUGCCCCUCACUGGUAUAUCAUCGACAGCAUCAUUACUUGGUCCUUCUUCUGCAGGUUCAGCAACCAAGUCUAACUGGUCCAAUUCAGACAAGUUAGCCACAACACCAUUCCAAUUCCACACCUUUUCCUCAUCAAACUUAACAUCCCUGCUGACUAAAACCUUCUUUGCUGUAGGAUCAUACACUCUAUAGCCCUUCUUGUUGCUGCUGUAGCCAACAAAGAUUCCUGGAGUUGCUCUGCUCUCAAGCUUGGUCCUUUUCUCCACUGGAAUAAGUGCAUAACAUACACAGCCAAACACUUUUAAGUGUGUUACCACAGGUUUGACUCCGUGCCAAGCCUCAAAAGGAGUCAUAUCCUUGACUGCUCUAGUUGGCAGUCUGUUGAGCAGAUACACUGAGGUGUUGACUGCCUCAGCCCAAAACUGACUUGGAAGCUUGCCUUGAAACAAGAGGCACCUGGCCAUGUUCAGUACAGUCCUAUUCUUUCUCUCACAGACUCCAUUCUGUUGAGGAGAAUAGACUGUUGUGAGCUGAUGGUGAAUCCCAGCACUGUCACAAAGCUUCUAAAAUCUCUCAGACACAUAUUCAGAUCCAUUAUCAGUCCUCAAGGCUCUAAUUUUGUAGCCUGACUGAUUUUCAGCAUAAGCCUUGAAUUUACAGAAGGCUUCAAACACUUCUGACUUUUGCUUCAAGAAGUAGACCCAGCAUAACCUUGUUAAAUCAUCUAUAAACAAGGCAAAGUACCUGUUCUCACUGAUUGAAGGUGUUCUCAUAGGGCCACAAACAUCAGAGUGCACCAAUUCGAGCUUGUCUUGAGCUCUCCAAGCACUGUCAGCAGGAAAAGGCAGUCUAGCCUACUUACCAAGCUGACAAACCUCACAAACAUUCCCACUAGCUUCAAUUUUUGAAAUGUCAUCAACCAGAUUUAGCCUAUGUAAUAGAUCAAUAGAUCUAAAAUUUGCAUGGCCUAGUCUCCUAUGCCACAAGUCAGUGCUUUCAACAAGGCUGGUGUAUACCUUUCUUUCUAUUUGGCUAACAUCCAGCAUGAAGCACCUAUCAGUCAUAGAGACUGUGACUAACUCCAGACCAUUCAUGUCUUGAACAAUACAGCAACCAUCCUUAAAAACCAAUGUAUAGCCCUUUUCAACUAAUUGGCCCACACUAAGCAAAUUCUGGUCUAAGUCAGGUACAAAAAACACAUCUGAGAUCAGCUUGUUACCUGAACCAGUGCUAAUCAACACACUGCCCUUGCCUUUAGCCUCAAUCAGCCUACCAUCUCCAAUUCUAAUCCUCGAGUGGAAGCUUCUGUCUAGGCUUUUGAACAGCUUCUCAUCUGCUGCCAUAUGGUGUGAGCAGCCACUGUCUAGUAGCCAAUCAUUGCUGGCCUUGGUUGUGCCAACAAAACAAGUUGCUGUGAACACUUGCUCCUCCUGAGCUUGAAUGUCCUCAGCAGGUCUAGCUUGUUGCAGAGUAGCCUCCCUUGGUUUGCCCUUGCACACCUUCUCCACAUGGCCAAACUGUUUGCAUUUUCUACACUGAAUAUCUGGCCUAAACCAGCAAUACUUUUCUGAAUGUGUUGUCUUCUUGCAAUGAACACAUGGUGGGAACACCCUUUUUGCUUCAUCUCUUCCUGACUUGACCCUUCUAUUGUGCCAAGGCUUCUUGCCUUUUGCACUCACACUCGAGCCUUCACUGGCUUUAGCCUGGAAAGCAGCUUCAGGAUUCUCCUCCUGCCUAUUUGCCCUCCUUUGCUUAAGUGCAUAUAGGGAAUUUAUCAGCUCAGACAAUGAAAUGGCUGAUAAGUCCCUCGAGUCCUCAAGUAAAGAGAUUUUAGACUCAAAUUUCUCAGGAAGAGUUGUAAUAACCUUUUCAACAACUCUGCUCUCUGUGAAGUCCACUCCCAGGAGCCUAAUGCUGUUGACAAUGGCCAUUAUCCUGUCUGAGUACUGCUUGAUGGUCUCAGACUCCUUCAUCCUCAAGUUUUCAAAGUCUCUCCUGAGGUUGAUUACUUGCUGUUGCCUUGUCUUAUCAGUCCCCAUGAACUCCUCCUUCAGCUUCUCCCAAGCCUGCUUAGGUGAGUCACAGGCCAUGAUGCGAGUAAAUAUCACAUCAGAGACUCCAUUUUGCAAGCAGGCCAUAGCCUUAUACUUCUUGGCUCGCUCCUCAGUAUGUUGCCUCAUCUGUGCAAUGGUGGGAUUGGCUCUCAAUGGAGGUGGUUCAGCAUCAUUCUCGAUCACACUCCAAAGAUCAUGUGCCUGGAGAUAAGUCUUCAUUUUAACUAUCCAAAUGUGAUAGUUUUCUCCAGUGAACACUGGUGGAGGUGGUGGAGUGAAACUCAUUCUGCUAAACUGAUUUUAAAUGCUUCAAUCUUACCAAAUUUUGAACUUGCUGUUGGUUUUGUUUCGAACACAACAGAUUGCAUACAAAGGCCCCUCAAAGACUCGGGCUCAUGAUACCAUUUGUUGGAACAAUGACAGCAGCAAACAUCAAAGCAAAUUUGCAACUCAGUGUUUGCAAGACUGAAGCAAGAAGAAUCAAGGCAAGCAAAGCAUCAAAAAUCAAAAUACUCAGCAAUGUUUGUGACUGAACAUACAUCAUUUUUCAUUCAACUUGAAAUAUAUAAAAGAGUUACAAUUGUACAUUGACAGUUACCUAAUGUAUUUAACUGCCCCAACUAAUACAAACCUAAUCACUAGCCAAAAAAUAAUCAAACAUAGCUGACCAAUCAGCCAUUACAUCAAAAGAUCUUGUCACUAACUUAAGUUUAACUAGCAUUACAAACAAACUAAAGUUGAACUGAAUCAAAUUACAUCAAAACAAAACAGCAAAGUUGGUUGCUUCAUUCAGUUCAAAAACCAUUCGUGCGCACCAAGCAAAACGAGCUGAGCUCGAUAGCUGCUGGUCUCGACAGUAGCAAGCUUUUGGCUCCAUGUUGCAUUGCAGUCCAGCUUUCAACAAAUUAAGCAUGAACCUUAAUAUCUGAAUUUGGGUACCCACCACAGCCUCCAGCUGCCUUCAACUUGAUAACAAACAUAUAAUCACAUAAAGAUCACAUUCUAUCAUAAUCUUAUAAAUGCAUCUAGUUCAACAUAAGCAAAGCACGAUGAAGCAAGCAGUGUGAAUCACACAGUGUCAAUCCUAAUUUCCAAGUUCAAUCGCCUAUGAUCAUAUUCAAUAAAGCCAGAAAGAAAGCAUUCAAUAAUUAACUAACAAAAACAAAAAGAUUAAACAUAAAACAAACAGAAAAUGUUAAAACUUAGAUUUAUUCUUGAAGCAGAAGAAAUUAGCACAUAAUAAACAUCAAGUUGUUCUCAGCUCACAUUUUAUUUGAUCAUUUUAAACCCAAACAUUAAAAGCACAGACAAGUUAUCAGAUCACAAAUUAUAUACACAAAUAUCUAUAAAUAUAAGCUAAGGAUCUGCUACUAAUUCCCAGUUGACUCUCUGUUUUGAUAUACAUAUAUUAUGUUUCUUUAAACUCUCCAAGGAUCUGCAAGUAAAUACCAAACACUUUGAUCAAUAUAAAAGCAUAGGCUGCAACCUAUAAGGAAAACCAAUCUGACACAUACGAAAUAGUUGGAAGGUUUAUAUCAGCUAACAUGAAUAAAAAUCAGAAAUAUUUAAAGGAAAUGUGAACCAUAAAUCAAUGGAUUUAUAUAUCAUUGAAGGAAAAUGCAGUGACUAUCAUCAUAAUCAAAGUACAUGCAUCAUAAAAUAAAGUGCACCUUUGUCUCAUGUACAUUGGCUCUACCAUGAUAUCAUUUGGAUUUGUCAUAAAAUAAAGUGCACUUGUCUCAUGUACUUGGCUCUACCAUGAUAUCAUUUGGACUUGUACAACUUCUUUUUCUGGUUCAUGUACAUUCCACAGAAGAACAACUUCCGCAAAUUCUUGAUUUUUAGUCCUUUGAUAAAUCUGAGAAAAAGAGUGGCAUGAGGAAGCUAAAAAUCACAAUGAGUCAAAGGUAAUUGAAGAUUCAAGGAAAGUAAUGAUUACCUAUUCCUCAUUUUUUUAAAAGCUAAAGCUCAAAAUAUCUUUUCUAAGAUCUGCUAUUCCCUCAUGAUUUUGGUUAGGCAUCCGCUUUCCGUACAACAAUCACUGCCAUCUUCAUUCCCUUCAUCGUUGCAAAUUUAGGAGGUCAAAGCUUAAUCUCUAUGUUUUGGCUAACUGAUACUACAUUGCAUUAAGAAAGUUGAGACAAAAAAGCAUAUCUAUAAUGUGAGAUAAAAAUGGUCUUGCAUUCGUCACAACCUUGACACGAAGACCAGAAAUUUCAUGAGAACAUGUUUUGUUGGUGAGAAAGAAGAUAUCAAAGACAACCCUAAUCUGCAAAUACAGUAGAGUAUCAAAUAUGCCAACAGCUGCACUUUCAUGCAAGUUUUACAAGAUCUACAGAUUUAGUGGUAUCUAUCAUGCAACCCUAAUAUUUGAAUGAGUUGCGAUUUAGUGGUAUCUAUCUCUUGUGGUUCAACCUGUGAACCACGCUAAUUUAAAUUUAGCAAUACGAAAUUGCUAUUUACUCUGAUAUUAAUUACUUACUUUUAUGAUUAAUCUAAUAAAAUGAUUAGAGUAAACUACAUCCGCAAUCAGUUUUUAUUUUGAUCACACAAUUAUAAAAGAACUAAUGUUUUUGAGAUUUGAUUUGUUGGUCACUCUACCAUUUAAUUGCUAUCUUUUUCUUUAUUUGUAUAAUAAUAAAUUUAACUCUCUAAUGUUUGUACAUUUUAUCAAUUUGAUUUCUAGCCUUUAAUGUUGAUAUGUUUUGUGAAUUUAGUCUUUAUUCUAAAAAACUCAAAUUAAAAUUAAAUUUUUAAAAAUUAAAAAUUCAACAUUUAUAAGUACCAAGUGGGGAGGAGGUGCCAAGUCUAGGAGCCAAAUGAGUAUUUAAGUCAUAAAUUCAUUAUAAUUUUUUUUAAUUUUUAUAAUUUUUUUAAAUGUUUUAGAAUCAGGAUUAAAUUGACAUAAUAUGUAAAUGUUGAGAGUUGAAUAUAUUAAAAUUUGUAGAAUUAAGACCAAACUAAUGGAACGGAUAAACAUUAGAGGACUAAAAUUGUUAUUAUGCUAAUAAAAAAGCCACAUAAGCCUUCCAUUAAUGAUUUGAUGACUAAUUGACAAAAAAAUCACAAUUCAAAAAUGUUAGUGACUUAAUAGAAAUUUGUUAUAAUUAGAUGACCAAAAUCUUAAAAACAGUUAUCAUAGUUGGAUGACUAUUUGUGUAUCCAAAUGAAUCAAUUUUAACCAUAGAUUGACAAAAAAGAAAGUCAAAUUUCAAAAAUACUUACAAUUAAAUUGAAUAUUUUAUAAUUGAAUGACAAAAAAAUUGAUGCGUCGUUGACAGCACAAAAAAUAUUCUAUCACUAAAAAAUAAUGAAAAUAAUAGUAUAAGGGAAGUAAGGUCAAAUCCUUAAAUACUGGACUUGCAUAAGUUCCUGUUCAUCGAGAUCCCAAGCAGAAUCGUGCCCAAGAAAAAUGGUGUACGUGAAAAAAAAUAGAAUUAAAAGUUUGGUUGAAUUAAGAUUGUGUAAAUUGAAAUUGAAAUUAUAAAAAUAAAUAGAGUUGAGAAAAGAUAGUUUUUGAUGGAGAGAUUCCCCAGUUAUCUCGAUCCUCCUUGGGUUCAAUCCUAGGCUUUUAAAUGUUCUUUAUCAUAAUAGAAUAAGCCAGUUAUAGUGAAAGAGGAUGCCUACAAACACCAGCUCCACUUAGAUUUUAGACUUACGAUAUAGAGGAACCUGACUCUAGCCAACCAUCACUUUUGUGAGAAAGUCUUACACUAGAUCAUCACUUCUUAAUGGUGAAUACUACACCAUUUUGUUUCUUGGGCUCAAUAACCACUGAUGGAGUAGGCUAACGAACCGACUAUGCAACCUUCCCAAAACAUACAAAGUGACCGCCUUUGCACAAGAUGAAAAAAUCACUUUUGAAGGAACAUGGACGGAAGCGUCAGUCUCGUAGUACGGAGAAACGAUGAAUAUUCUUUGAAAAGGCUAAGUGCGGAUUCUAAGCCUCAUGAACCCUUUUUGGGGAAUGUCAACAACCUUUGGCUAAAUGAAUUUAGUAGCUCAUGCUUACUUAAUAAAAAUGGAAUUUUAUUGGAUAAAUAAAAGGAACAAAAGCUAGAGCUUUUUGGGAGAGGGAGCUUUUACAAAAAAGAAGAGUGAAAUUUGUGUCAAUCCAUCCCCUAUUUAUAGUACUUAGAAAACCUAGUUUGUUUCUAUUUAAAUUCUAAAAGAUAAAUAAAUAUAAAAGCUAAAAUUAAAUCUAAAUAAUAAUAUUAACAAUAAUCCUAAUAAAAUUCAAAUUUAAAUAUAGUCUUGUGUUUAUAAAAUCUCUUCUUUGAACUUUUUCUCUCAAGUCUUCCACAUUUUUGCACCACUUCUUUCCUAUUUAGCAUGCUGACCCAUUUUGUCUUCAAAUUCAUGCUUUUUCCCCCAAAUUUCCCUUUUCCUUCAAUUUAGUCCCUACAAGAUAAAAAAUCAUAAAUAGCUCAAAUUAGUAAGAUCAUACUCAAAAUAAAUCUGUAAUUAAUACAUAAAAAUGUAAUUCCAGAGUAUUAUAAAAAACUCUCAUAAUUAAGUGAAUAUGUACCCCAAACAAAUAUCGUUUCAUUCAAUAAUCUCUAAUCAAAUACAUUAAUUUAAGUGACAAAGCAAUUGCUUUGAUUACAUUAAUUUAAGUGACAAAGCAAUUGGUUUGAUGAUAAUAAGUAGAUUAAAUUUGGGUAGUAGUUUAUGUAAUAAAAAUUGGAUGGAUGGGGACAUGGGGUCAUUUCUUACACUAAGAAAAUCAUUAGUGGAAUGCCUUGGGCAUAUUCUACAAAUUUGUAAUUUGAUAUAUCUCGGAAAAUCAACAGUAGGAGAAAUAGAAAAAAGUUGAAGAGAGUCAUUCCCAUUUAACUUGUUUAUCCUCAUGUAUUUGGCUUUAACUCCCAUUCUUAGUACUUUUCUAUCUCUAAUUUUAAGAUUACCUAAUUUUACAAUCCAAUUCAAAUGAUAAUUUAAAUUAAAAUGAAGGUACAAACCAAUUUCAAUGUUGCAUCCUAUCAAUUCCAAAACAGAGUAAAACUCUGCAAUUUUAAUUAUCAAAAGGGGAAUUUGAUUCAAGUUUUAGCCCAGACUGAUGUAACAAUCAAGUUAAAUGGUUGUACCAUGAAACCAACUCCUCACUUUGAAGUUCCAACUAAACCAAAAUUAUUUCGAUUUGCUACAACUUUCUUUUUUCCAAGUGAUUAUGUUGGGUUCCUCCAUGGGGUAAACAUAAAAGCUCAUCAAUCUCGAGAAUGAAAAUUGUGAUAGGGUUGGCAUUCAAAAUAGCAUCCAAGCUCCAUGUGUUCAUUUAACAACCAGUACCUCGAUUAGUUCUUGGUCUAAUUAGCCAGUCCGGUUCAAAAAACACCAAUUUUGAUCGAUAAAAUUACUUUUCUAAUCUUGUCAGGUCGAGCAAGCAGAUGAUGAAGUUCAAAAACAGAAUUAUUUGUCAACGUCUUGAUCUCAAGCAAACAAAUUUCAAGCAUUGUCAAUAUUGCUAGACAUUAUAAAAGAUAAAAAGGAAAAAAAUAGAAAGAAACAUAAAGAGAAAGAAAUAAUGUGAAAGAAAAAAAAGAAAAUUAAAGAAUUAAAAAAAUAUUUUUUAUGUUUAUAUGAUGUGACGGUUUAUUAUUGGCUGAGAUUUUUUUUAACAGAUAUAAUAUUUUGAUGUAAAAUGAAUAAUAGAAACAUAAUUUAAGUACCACUUAUGAUAAAGAAAAAUAGAUAUCAACUCGAAUUUUCAAAGUAUUUGAUGUUUUAAUUGGUUAACUUAGCAAGACAAUGUGAUCUUCCCUCUAUUUUUAUUUUUCUUUGUUUUUUCUCCCUCUUUUAAACCUAUCUUAUUAGAAUCAAAUGUACAUUAAUAAAAAUAUGAAGCCCCAUUGGAAGACCAUGAUCACUUUGAGGUUACUCUUUAUAUUUAUAAUAAUCCCAACUAAUUUAGUCAAUAACAAAUAGAUUAUUUGCAUCACAAUUUUGUCCCAUUGGAAGACCAUGACUUUGAGAGUACACACCAAUCACCAAACCCCAUGCACAACACAUAAUAUAAAACUAAUUGCAUAAGGAUCAAAUUCAUAUAGUAUGCUGCAAUGGGUAAUUAAAUAAAUAAACAAAGCCGGCCAACCUCUUUUCAACCUUUCUUCAUUGGAAUCAACUGUAUAAAUAUUUAAAAUAAUAUGAAGCGUAGUUUAUCAAGUAAACUUGACAAUGCUGUUAUGUUUAGAAUAAUUUGCUAAGCUCAAGUCAUCGCCUAUGCUUCUGUCUAACAAAAUCACUUUCAAUCUCUUUCCCAUUUAAUAAAACCACUUUCUCUUCCUACGAUAGAAGCAAAGCAAAUCAAAGUUCCCUCAACGUAUUUUGUUCUCUUUCAUGGCAUCUUCUUCUUCUCUUCCUCCUCCUCAAGUGAAACACCAAGUUUUCUUGAGCUUCAGAGGUGAAGACACACGCAAUAACUUCACCAGUCAUCUACUCAAAGCUUUGAAAGACACGGGAUUGAAUGUCUUCUUCGAUGAAGAAAAACUAGAGAAAGGGGAGAAACUUUCAGAUGCACUUUCUCAAGCAAUUGCAGCCUCAAAUCUCUCAAUCCUCGUUUUAUCUAAAGACUAUGCUUCGUCAAAGUCAUGCUUAGGUGAACUUUCUGACAUUAUGGAUCGUAAGCGUAAGCCCACUGACAAACAUAUUGCUCUUCCCAUCUUUUACCAUGUUGAUCCAUCCCAUGUGCGAAAUAUCGGUGGGACUUCUAAGACAUCCUUUGAGCAACAUGAAUCAAAGAGGCCAGUUGAUGAAGUGAAGCGAUGGAAAGUCGUCUUUACUGAAGUCGGUACAUUAAAAGGGUGGCAUAUAGAAUGAGGCAAAUUCGAUAGGUAACUAUAUAAAUGCAUAUGUAUUCAUCCUUUUAUAUAUGACAUAUCUUUCUUUUGACUAUUAAUUUCUUCAAUUGUUUACUAGAUCUGAAACCGAGUACAUUAAAGACGUCGUUGAAUAUGUUUUGAAAAAGUUGAAUAGCAAUUGCACAAGUGUUUUUGAAGAUUUGGUUGGAAUAGAUGAUCAAAAAGGGAUAAUUUUGGGGCUGAUUGACCAAGUGGACAGUCGUGUAAUAGUGUUGAAGCUAUGGCCUGCAGUGCAACAGAGAACCAGUAGCAGAAAAUUGAUCAAAGACCAGCAGCAGCAAAUUGUAUAAUUUGAGCUGCUACACUGUUUUGAAGUAAAGUAAUGAAGUUGGUUCUCUUGGAAGAUCACAUUUUAGAUGUUUUGUUCCUAUGGAACUUUGUUCAAUUCUUUUGUAUUUUGACAGCAAAGUCAGUAGGAAAAUUGACUGAUGUAAUAGCUGGUAUGCCAGCCUUCUUUUGUAAUCAACUUGCAUUAUUUUAGUAUGUAUUAAGUAAGGGCAGUUAAGUUAGUAGGUAACUGUCAAACAUUACUUGUAACUCCCAUAUAUUCAAAAAUUUGAAUGAAAAAUACAUGACUUCAGUUACAAUUCUUUGCUGAGUUUUUUUUAGUUCUCUUUUUGCUUCAUUUGGUUUGCUUCUUUGUACUGUCAUUUAUCCAACAAAUGGUAUCCAGAGCUUUCAGUCUUUGAGGGCCUUGGUUGUACACUGUCAUUAAGCAAAUUGUAUUUGAAACAAAAGAAGAAGAGGUUGUUUUGCUUGCUGAAAAAUGAGCUUUACACCACCUCCUUCACCUGUCUUUGCUGGAGAAAAUUACAACAUCUGGGCAGUGAAAAUGAGAACAUAUUUGCAGGCACAUGACCUGUGGAAUGUUGUUCUCAAUGACACUGAGCCACCACCACUAAGAGCCAACCCGACCAUAGCCCAGAUCAGGCAGCACAAUGAAGACUGUGCCAAGAAGUACAAGGCUAUGUCGUGCAUUCAAAGUGGGGUCUCUGAUGUUAUUUUCACAAGAAUAAUGGCUUGUGACACUCCAAAACAGGCCUGGGAUAAACUCAAGGAGGAGUUUCAGGGGUCUGACAAGACCAGGCAACAGCAGCUGAUCAACAUGAGAAGAGACUUUGAAAAUCUCAAAAUGAAGGACUCAGAAACCAUCAAGCAGUAUGCUGACAGAAUCAUGGCUACUAUCAACAACAUAAGGCUGCUUGGGGAAGAAUUCAGUGACCAAAGAGUGGUUGAGAAGGUCAUAACAACCUUGCCAGAGAAGUAUGAGGCAAAAAUUUCUUCUCUGGAAGACUCAAGGGACUUGUCAACAAUCCCUUUGACAGAGCUUAUAAAUGCUCUUUAUGCUCAAGAGCAGAGAAGGGCAAAUAGGCAGGAGGACCACUAUGAAGGAGCUUUUCAGGCUAGAGGCAGAGAAAGCUCAAGUGCAAACUUAAAUGUCAAAGGCAAGAAGCCUUGGACUGAGAAGAAAAAGAAAGAACCUGUCAAAAGGAAGUUCCCACCUUGUGUCCAUUGUAAGAAGACUACUCAUCUUGAGAAAUACUGCUAGUACAGACCAGACAUUCAAUGCAGAGCCUGCAAGCAAUUUGGCCACAUUGAAAAGGUCUGUAAGAGUAAGUCAAAAACACAACCACAAUUUCAAAGCCAAGCUCAAGCUGCAGAAGAGGUUGAAGCACCAGAAGAGCAUGUUUUUUCAGCAUCAUGCUUUGCAAGCUCGAGCAAGGUUAACAAAAUUUGGCUGAUUGACAGUGGAUGCACCCACCAUAUGGCUUCUGAGAAGAGUAUAUUCAAGGAGCUUGACACUACCUUCAAGUCCAAAGUCAGAAUUGGCAAUGGUGAGCUACUAGAGGCAAAAGGGAAAUGCAAGGCUUUGAUAAGCACCAAGUCAGGUAUUAAAACCACUUCAGAGGUUCUCUAUGUACCUGAUAUUGACCAAAACUUGCUAAGUGUUGGCCAGCUAUUGGAGAAAGGCUAUUCUCUAAUUUUUGAAGGCAAGAACUGUUUGAUCAAAAAUGCUGCUGGUGAAGUGUUAACCACAGUGGCUAUGCAAGAUAGGACUUUCAUUGUAGAUGUGAAUCAGCUUCAGGCUAAAGCAUAUGCAUCUCAGUCUGAUGAGACUGAUUUGUGGCACAGGAGGAUGGGACAUGUGAACUACAAUUCUCUGAAUAUGAUGCAAAAGAUGGAUUUGGUCAGUGACAUGUCUAAAAUUGAGCCAAGGGAUGCUGUGUGUGAAGUCUGUCAGUUAGGAAAACACACCAGGUUACCAUUUCCUGUCAACAAAGCAUGGAGAGCUCAUGGGAAGCUUCAGCUGGUUCAUACAGACAUUUGUGGACCAAUGAAGACCACCUCCUUAAAUGACAGCAGGUACUUUGUACUUUUUAUUGAUGAUUAUUCAAGGUUCUGUUGGGUGAAUUUUUUAAAGCAUAAGUCAGAUGUUUAUGGUUCUUUUUGCAAAUUUAAAGCCUUGGUUGAAAACCAAGCAAAUUGCAAAUUGAAAUGUUUGAGGUCUGACAAUGGUUCUGAGUAUGUAUCUCAGAAGUUCCAAAAAUUGUGUGAUGAUGCUGGAAUUCAACACCAAUUGACUACUGUGUACACACCACAACAAAAUGGUGUCUGUGAAAGGAAAAACAGAACAGUCCUUGAUAUGGCUAGGUGUUUGUUAUUUGAGGCUAAAAUGCCUAAUGCUUUUUGGGCUGAAGCUGUGAAUACAGCUGUUUACUUGUUGAAUAGGCUGCCAACUAAUGCAGUCAAGGGUAAAAUACCCUUUGAAGCCUGGUUUGGACAAAAACCAUCUGUCUCACAUUUGAAGGUAUUUGGUUGUCUAUGUUAUGUGUUGGUACCUGAGGAGAGAAGAACCAAGUUGGACAGGAGGUCCAUGCCUGGGGUGUUUGUUGGCUACAGCAAUGUGAAGAAAGGAUACAGAGUCUUUGAUCCACUGACCAAGAAGGUUGUAGUGAGCAGAGAUGUGAAAUUCAGUGAAGCAAGUAGCUGGAAAUGGGAUGGAAUUGAAGCAAAUUUGCCCGAGGGAGAACAGAUUGAUGUUGAUCUGCAGCAAGCUGAAAAUGAAGAAGUAACUGAAAAUGGCUAUGAUGAUGAACCUGUUCGAGGCACCAGGACAUUAACAGACAUCUAUGAGAGAUGUGCAGUAACCAUAGUAGAGCCUUCAUGUUUUGAAGAAGCUGCAAAAGAAAAGUGCUGGCAGGAUGCUAUGGAAACUGAAUUUAAAAUGAUUCAGAAAAAUGAUACAUGGGAGCUUGUGGAUAGACCUGAAAAUAGAAGAAUCAUUGGUGUCAAAUGGGUCUUUAGGACUAAAAACAAUGCUGAUGGUACUUUGAACAGACACAAGGCUAGAUUGGUUGUAAAAGGUUAUAGUCAGCAGCAAGGGGUUGAUUUUUCUGAAACCUUUGCACCUGUUGCAAGGUUGGAUACUAUCAGAUUACUGCUUACUUUGGCAGCUCAAAAGCACUGGAAGGUGCAUCAUUUAGAUGUUAAGUCAGCUUUUUUAAAUGGCUUUCUUAAUGAAGAAAUAUUCAUAGAGCAACCUGAAGGUUUUGAGGUCUCUGGUGAAGAACAGAAGGUUUACAAGUUGAAAAAGGCCUUAUAUGGCCUAAAGCAGGCUCCAAGAGCCUGGUAUGAGAGGAUUGAUGGCUACUUGGCAAGGCUUGGGUUCACAAAGAGUGUCAGUGAGCCUACACUCUAUGUUAAGAAGGAUCAGGACGAAACCUUGUUAAUUAUUUCCUUGUAUGUUGAUGAUUUGCUAGUCAUUGGCUGCAAAGAUAAACUUAUUGAAGACUUCAAGAAUCAGAUGCAACAUGUCUUUGAAAUGACUGACCUUGGUCUAAUGACCUAUUUCCUUGGUAUUGAAAUCAGACAAGGAAGUGAUGGAAUUUUUAUAAGUCAGCAGACUUUUGCUUCCAAGGUACUGGAAAAAUUUUGCAUGCUGAAAUGCAAAUCAGUUACUACACCUGUUGCAUUGGGGGAGAAAUUGUCAAGUGCCAGUAAGCAUGAUCGAGUAGAUGAGAAAGCAUAUAGAAGCUUAAUUGGUUGUCUGCUUUAUUUAACAGCAACUAGACCAGACAUUGUCUAUGCUGUUAGUCUACUUUCAAGGUUUAUGCACUGUAGUAAUGUGGCACAUCUGAAAGCAGCAAAAAGAGUGUUAAGGUAUGUCAAAGGUACCAUCGAUGCUGGUGUGAAGUUUUGGAGGGCAAAGGAGCUGAAACUUGUAGGCUAUUCUGAUAGCGAUUGGGCAGGGUCAGUUGAUGACGCGAUGAGUACUUCAGGUUAUUUUUUCACCUUAGGCUCGAGUGUUUUCAGCUGGAGUUCAAAGAAGCAACAAACUGUUGCACAAUCCACAGCAGAGGCUGAGUAUAUCUCAGCUGCAGCAGCAGUAAAUCAAGCCAUUUGGCUUAGGAAGAUUUUGGAUGAUUUGAAUGAAAAUCAAGCUCAGCCUACUAAGAUUAGAGUGGAUAACCAAUCAGCUGUGGCCAUAGCCAAAAAUCCAGUCUUCCAUGGUAAGACUAAACACUUCAAAAUCAAAUUUCAUUUUGUUAGAGAAGCUGAGCAAUCGAGGGAGGUUAGCUUAGUUCAUUGCAGUUCAGAAAUUCAGUUAGCUGACAUUUUAACUAAACCAUUGGGAGCCAACCGAUUUAAUGCUUUGAAAGAAAAGAUUGGUGUUUGUUGCAUACAGCCCAAGGAGGAGUGUUGAAGCUGUGGCCUGCAGUGCAACAGAGAACCAGUAGCAGAAAAUUGAUCAAAGACCAGCAGCAACAAAUUGUAUAAUUUGAGCUGCUACACUGUUUUGAAGUAAAGUAAUGAAGCUGGUUCUCAUGGAAGAUCACAUUUUAGAUGUUUUGUUCCUAUGGAACUUUGUUCAAUUCUUUUGUAUUUUGACAGCAAAGUCAGUAGGAAAAUUGACUGAUGUAAUAGCUGGUAUGCCAGCCUUCUUUUGUAAUCAACUUGCAUUAUUUUAGUAUGUAUUAAGUAAGGGCAGUUAAGUUAGUAGGUAACUGUCAAACAUUACUUGUAACUCCCAUAUAUUCAAAAAUUUGAAUGAAAAAUACAUGACUUCAGUUACAAUUCUUUGCUGAGUUUUUUUUUAUUUCUCUUUUUGCUUCAUUUGGUUUGCUUCUUUGUACUGCCAUUUAUCCAACAAAUAGGACUUUGGGGAAUGGGUGGUAUUGGCAAAACUACCCUUGCUGAUGUUGUAUAUAAGGAAGUCUCUCCAAAGUUCGAAAGUAGUUUGUUUCUUCAAAAUGUUAGUGAGAAAAUAAAAAAACAGGGGAAUGAAAUUUUACGAAAUGAACUUCUUUCCAAAAUAUUAAAGGAAAAAGAAAUUUGUAUCGAUACCCCUUCCAUAGGAUACCCUUACAAUGAGAGGUUGAACAAUAAAAGAGUACUAGUUGUCCUUGACGAUAUUAGAGACCCAAACCAAAUAGAUUUUAUGGGUGUUAAACAUUUUGGUCCUGGAAGCAAAAUCAUUGUAACAUCCAGAGAUAGACAAAUACUUAACAAUGGAGGAGCUAAUAAAAUACAUGAGGUAAAGAAGUUAAAUACGAAUGACUCUCUUCAACUUUUUUCUACAUUUGCAUUUAAGCAGUUGAAUCCUGCAGCUGAUUUUCGAGAUCUAUCAUGCAAGUUUGUAGAAUACGCCCAAGGUAAUCCACUUGCUUUUAGAGUUUGUGGUUCUAAACUAUACAAAAAGUCUAGAAAAGAAUGGGAAAGCGAGGUGGAUAAACUGAGGGAAUGUGCGCAACCACAAAUUGUACAGAUUUUGAAGAGUAGCUUUAAUGGGCUUGAUGAGAUAGAGAAGAAUAUAUUUCUCGAUGUUGCAAUCUUCUUUAAAGGGGAACGAAGAGAAAAUGUAGAAGAAAUUCUCACUUGCUGUUAUAAGGGUGUAGAUGGUGUAAUAAGGAGCUUGCUUGACAAGAGCUUACUUGAUACCAAAAGUUAUUCAGAAAUUUCUAUGCAGGAUAUGCUUGAAGAGAUGGGUAGAGACAUUGUUCGUCAAGAAUCUAGAAGACCUGAAAAGCAAAGUAGAUUAUGGAAUCCUAAAGACGUGGAUCAAGUGCUCAAAUAUAAUAAGGUAACUAAGUGCUAAUAGUCUUUGGAUUGUAUAUGUUGUUCAUAUAUUUGUUGAUUUAACAAGUGUAUAAAUUCAAUUAAUUAACAAUUUUAGUUAUUUAUAGUUAUUUUCAAUGUUUAACUUAAAUGUUCUUUUAUCUGUUAUUAGGGGACUGAUUUAACUAAAGGAAUAAAGGUAUGCAUGUCUCCUACUGAUAUUCGACGGAUAAGCCCUACUGCUUUACAGAACAAGCACAUCUUCGAUUUAUCUACUUUUCUUUGACUAAAUGGGUUGGGGGAUUUGCUUAUGACCAAGUUUAUGAUAUUGCAUACCUUCCUAAUGAGUUAAGGUGUCUUUGUUGGGAUUAUUAUCCUUUCAAAUCUUUAUCAUCAAAUUUUAAUCCAAAGAAUCUUGUCGUAUUGAGACUACGAGGUAGCAAUGUGGAAUAACUUUGGGAUGAAGAUGAACAUCAGGUAUAUACUUUUUUUAUUUUCUUCAUUCAAGAUUAAAAAAAAAAGUUUUAAAAUUGAUGUAUAUAGCAUCUUAUUAAAAAAAAUUAAAAAUAAAUACUAAAGAUUUAGAAGAAACAAUUUCAUUUGAUUUUUUAAUGGUGAAUGAAUUUAUUAUACUACAACAGCACAUCAAAUAUAUUAUAAUAAUUUAUUUUUGAAGUAAUAUAGCUAAUUUAUAUUAUCAUUUGGUACAGGAUCUUGUUAAUUUAAGGCAAAUCGAUGUUUCUUAUUGUAAAAAAUUAAGAAAGAUCCCUAAUUUAUUACGAGCCAUCAACCUUAAAAGAGUUAUCGGUAGUUGGUGUGAUAAUUUGGUUGAAAUUCCAUGCCUCGAUCAUUUGGAAUCUCUAGAUGAACUUGAAUUGGAGGGAUGUUGUAAUCUCAAGAUGUUUCCCACGGUCUCAAAUAUCUUUUCGGAGUUAGACUUAUCGUAUACUGGAAUAGAAGAAGUGCCUGAUUCAAUUGGGUAUCUCGACAUGCUUGAAUGUUUGGAUUUGUCACACUCAAAAGUCCAAAGUGUAUCAAGCAAUAUUUUAAAGUUGAAAAAGCUUGAUGAUCUGGAUCUUAGUUAUUCCAUGAUCACUAAAUUGCCGGAAACCCCAAAGAACUUGACGUGCUUAAACUUAAGUGGGACUAAAAUUAAAGAAGUGUCCUUGUCUUCCAACCCUUUAAGUAAUCUUCGGAAGUUGGAUAUGGGCUUCUCAAGCAUUCAAAAGCUACAGUGCAAUAUCGCCCUCUUUUGUUCAGGACAGACAACAGUUGAUGCGCCCUCACCAAUCUUGAGGUUUAAAAGCCUUGGAUGUUUGACAGUGCAUGAAUGCAACAGUCUUAAAUUACUCUCCGAGCUUCCUCCAUAUCUGCGGCAAUUGGAUGCGAAUUACUGCCUAUCAUUAGAAGAAGUAUCGUUCUCAACUCAACAUCAAGAUCUAUAUGAACUUCAUUCUAGUUUUGAUAAUUUUGACUGCUACAUGUUAUUCAACAAUUGCUUCAGCUUGAAUCAAGAUUCAAUUGAUAACAUUUGGGCAAAUGCCAUGCUCAAAAUUAGAUUCCUAGCCAAGAAAUGGGUAUCAAAAUAUCGUCUUCGUCCACCAGUUUUUUAUUCAUGUUUCCCAGGAAACGAAAUUCCAUCAAAUAAGUUCGAAUAUCAGAGCAAUCAUUCUUCCUUAAUCUUGAAGAUAGCCCCAAAUGGGUGUAAUGGGAGCAGAUUCUUGGUUUUUUCCAUCUGCCUUGUGGCUGACCUCACUGAACUUCUCUUGGAUAGUUCUGAAUUUAUCUGUGAAUGCCAAUUGACAGCUGCUAGUGGUGCUCGUCAUGAAAAGUUCAAAAGUGUGUGGCAAGGCAAGCAAUAUCAUAGCGCAUCGAUGGUGUUCAUGGGUGACCAUGUGUUGAUCCUAUUUGGUGGUGAUAUGGUUAAAAAAGACAAGGGUUAUGAGCAGGCAACAUUUGAAUUCUACCUCAAAUACAUGGGCGAAGAAAAUAUGAAGGUGAAGAAAUGUGGUGUAGAUGUAUCUUACGUGGAUGAAGAACCUAGGCACACUUAAACACAAGUAAGUGGGUUUCAUUUCAGUUAACUUGUGUGGAAAUAAACUGCUUUAGAACCAAAAUGACAUCUAACUUGCUCUGCUUUAGAAAUUGCUAAACCAUUUUUUCAAGAAACUGAAACCUUGCAGUUCUACCAUGUAAAUGUUAAAAGUAGAGUUUGUGAUAAUUCUACAUAACAAGGGAAAUUUGUAAAGAGUUUAAGGGUUGAAUUUCUUUCUAGAAAUUAUAGUUUGUGACAGUUGCUUAUUUGUUUACUUAAAAGAGUUUAAGGGUUGUGUCUGUUUUUUUUUUUCAGGUACAAAAUAGAUUGUGAAGAACGAAAUUGGAGGGCAACUGAAUAUUUGAAUAGAGUAACAAAAAGUUUCUGCUUUGGAUUUCAUAAAAGUAUCCAUAGGAGGACAUGGUGGGCUCCCGAAUUCAGAUAUUAAGAUUCAUACUUUAAUUCUUUUUUGACAGCUGACUUGUUAUUGCUUGGUUUUAAUUCAUAGGAUCAGUGAUGGACAUCAUUCAGCUUCAUUGUUUAGUUUCUGGCAUUGGUGCUCAUGACAUAGGCAGAGUAAGUAGAGAUUUGAUCAUCUUGUAUCUCUAUACUCAAUGCAUUUUCAUUCAAUGGUAUAUUGACUCAUUGAUAUACAUUUCAUGUUUCGUUUAAAAGCUAGUGUUUGAUCACCUGAUUUCUGAUUUUUAUUAAUGUUAAUCAGAAAGAUUGGUUUUUUCUUAUAACUUAAGGCUUUUAUGUUGAUGUAAGACUAGGUGGUUGGUAUUUUCUGUGCAUUGUCUUUUAGAAUUAUAUAACUUUGAUCUCUAGUGGUCUCGAUGUCAAGGUUGUGACCAAUGCAAGACAAAAUUUAUCUAACAUUAUAGAUGUGCUUUUCAGUGACAGGGUUUAAUGAAUUGUAGUAUAAGUAAGCCAAAACCUAGAGUUUAAGCUUUGACUUUAGAAAUUUGCUACUAUCGGGGGAACGAAGACAACAAAGAGUGUAGAGGGAAUAAAUGGCAGAUCUUUGCAAAGGCCAUUAUACAGAAAACGAGGAAAAAGUAAGCUUUUAAUUUCUUCUGCUGAAUGCUUGCUUUAUAUUAUAGUUGAACUAAUAUCUUGAGGCAGUACUGCAACUUGUCAACAAAUAUGCCUUCUGGUUUUGGAGCUUUAGAGGAAACAUGUGUUCUUGGCAAUUUAGCCUUCCUGGAAAGGUAAAUUACUUUUGAUUCAUUGUGAUUUUUUAGCAACCUUACCUCAUGGCCUUCUUUUUCCUGAUUUAUCAAUGCAUCAUAUAAAUCCAGAAUUGGCAGAGAUUGCUUUUUCCCUUAACUUGUGGAAUGGACACAUGAAGUUGGAGGUUAUUUUCAAUGGCAACUUUGGACUGUAUUCGUUCUCCUGCUAGAUUGGUGAGCUAUUUUGUUCGAAGUGAAGAAUUGGUUUCAUGGAAGACCAAUUGGAGUUGAAAGCAGGGUGAAAGAGAUAUUGUAUCGGCUUGAAUUUCUUCUAUUGAAUGUGUUGGAGUUAAAACAGAAGCAGACAAGCUCAGCUUGAGUCUUGUGCAACAAGCCUCGAUGCUUGCUGUGCAAACAAACAGAUUCGAGCAAGAAGAGAAAAAAAAAAAACUAAGGAAAAAUGGAGAUAGUUUGAAGAACAAAUCUGAAUUCAUUCAUAAGUGAAUAAUGGCAUAAUGCCAAUACAUAAAACAAAGCACUAAGCUUGUCAAAAACAGCAAGUAAUCACCUAAACAUUACCUACCUCCACUAAUUACAUGGAAACUUGAAACUUAAACUUGUAAGCUUGAACAAAGCUGUGUUUACAGCUCACACUCUAGCUAAUUACAUCAAUCAUAGGCCUAACUUAGUUAGAAAUGAACUAAGAUACAUUUCAUUAACUAAAUAUAACAAAAUGAACAAAAUAAGCUUGCAUCAGCAGCUCUUGCAUCAGUUCCAGCAUAACUUGAUCUCCAUGGCAUGCUUGCUGUUGAGUGUUUGCUACAUGCUGGCCAACUUCAACAGAAUGCUUGCUUUAUAUUUUUAGUUGAAGUGAGAUAUUGAGGCAGUACUUCCAUUUAAUCCAGAAUUGUUAGAGUUAGAGGUAAAUUUAAUUUAAUUCAAUCGAGUUGUUGAUGAUAAUUCGAUUUAGUUAUUUUUUUUUUUAGAGUUCAAUUCUUACUCACUUAUGGGACCUUUCUCUUUUUAUUUUUGCUUACAGUAGAUAUAAAGAAGAGCGUGCAUAUUAGUGUUUGCAAGCUAUUUUAGUUCUAUUAAAAAGCUAGAACUCAUUUUAGUAAUUAUUGAGUUGAGUUCGAAUUAAAGUACAUAUAUAUUUACAGUUUUCAUUUUUUUUUUGUAGAAAAACUUGUAUCGUAAAGUUUUCAUUGUGGGUUAUUUAAUGUGUUUAAAAAUUUAAACUAUUGCAAAUAUUAAUUUUCAGUUUUUUUCAACAAUUUAUCAAACAAGAUCUGUAUUAAUAUGACAUCAACUUAAUUAAAAUCUUUAGAAUUAGUAAAUUAAAAUGCUUAAUGUCAAGGUUUAAUUGGAGAAGUGGUUAAAGUUCUUAUUUGACACUUGAGUAAUGUGGGUUUAAACCUUGUCAAUCUAAGUUCGGCUCAGAUAAAAAAAAAUCUUAAAUAUUUUCUAAACCUACUUUUUGAACCUCAUAUUUUCUAUCUGAACUCUCUUAUGUUUUAAACAAACCUUCAAGCUAGUUCAACCCCUUGAAUAUAUCUACUCUCCAUUUGCAUAUUGCCAGUAAUACAAGUUGCUAUAUAAUAAUAAUAAUAGUUGUCUCAAAAAAAUCUUUAAUAAUAUAGUAAAGUAAGAUAUAAGUUAUAAGACGUUUGGUUCAUAAUUGAUUAAAUAAAAACUUGUGGGUUACAAUGAAAUUUCUUAUAUUGUGGGUGGGUGUUUUUGUCUAAGCCCACCCAAAAUAAGAGAACUUUUAGUUUAAAUCAAAGUUGAGAUGGAUUAAAAAAAAAUCUAAAAUCUUGUUUAAUUUUACUUUUAGGACAUCAUAUUUUUAUUCAAAAUUUCUUAUAUUUUGAACAACCUUUAAAUUUCAACGAAAAAUUUGGCUCUACUCCUGUUUAUUGUUGGUAAUAUGUUUUUCUUGCCUAAUCUGUGAAAUAAUUGUUCAAGUAUUGAUUAAUGUACUAUUUGGUCCCCCACGCCCCACAAUUAAAUUCACAUCAUAUUGAUUUUCUUGUGUUUUUCCUUAUCUUCAUUCAUUGAUUGCAAAAAACAAAUCCAUGCAAUUCUACAAAGCUGUCAGAGUCAUCCUCUUGGCUGAAUUUUCAUGGAAAAUCUGCAGAUUACAGUCUUAUAGCUGUCAUUUCAUAAUGCACCAAAGCAUGAAAAUUGACCCCUUGAUAUGUGACUCAUAACUUUUAUUUUUUGUGGGUGAUAAAUUCCUGGUUGGGUUUUAUAUAAGCAUUUUAUUUUCGAGAUUAAUUUAAAAUUUAAAGAUCAUUAGCUAAUGGACCUGAAUAUAAAGAUCAUUUGAAAUCCAAAAACAUGAUGGAUCAGACAUUGUUAUGGUAGCUUAAACGUUUUUAGAAUUAGCAAUGUAUAAUUUAGCCAUGGACCUUAAUUUAUGUAAAAUUAGGAAAUACAAAAUUGCAAUGUACUUUAAGAUUACCUAAUUUUACAAUCUAAUUAAAAUGAUAAAGUUUCAUACAAUGAUGUUCACAAUCAAAUGGAAUAGAUUUGAUUAAACAUCGGCUGCAGCUUACAAGCAACACAUGAAACCAAAAAAACAACAAUGCCACAUAAUGUAUAAUGUCAAUAGCCACCAUGUCAUGAACGUAAAAUCCAAUCUACCCCGUCCUUGGCCGAUAUGCCUUAGCAAGACAUUAACAAAAAUCGAUAUCUUUUGCCUGAAGGAUUGAUCGAUCAACUUGAAUACAUCCCCCAAAGAAUCCGAGGUUGAAUUGAUACAAAAUGAACCUGUCAUGCUCUAGUCCGAAGCUUCAGACGCAAUAUAAUAGCUCGAAUCACAAACACGUUUUGCGACCGCUGCAAUUCUAGCACCCUCUUAACAUCAUUCUUCUGAAACAGUGACUGUAAAUUCACCACGAAGAAUCAAGUCAAAUGGGUGUACCAUGAAACCAACUCUUCACUUUGAAGUUCCAACUAAACCAAAAUCAUUUGGAUUUUUUCCCAAGUGUUUAUGUUGGGUUUCUCUAUGGGAUAAACAUAAAAGCUCAUCAAUCUAACUUGAGAAUGAAAACUGUGAUAGGGUUUGCAUUGAAAAUAACAUCCAGGCUCCAUGUCUUCAUUCAACGAGUUUUGCGAUAAGAGCAACUCUGCCAAAUUCUGCAUGCAUUUAUAUAAUCUAUUUUAAAUCAGGGGAAACGAACACCAUGAGGAUACUAAAAAUCAGAAUGAGCAAAAGUAAUUUACCCACGAGCAUAUGCUUCCUCUCAAGGGCCAAAAUCCAGAAAGCAAAGCUGGAUUGGGUAAACUCUGUUGACAAGUUGCAGUACCGCUUCAAUAUCUCAGUUCAACCACAAUAUAAAGAAAUCAUUCAGUACAAGAAAUUGAACAUCUUAAAAGCUUACUUGUUUCAAACAUCUGUCAUUUAUUCCUCAUCUGCUCUCCUAACAUCAAUCAUUGCCAUCUUUAUUCCCUUCAAAUUACCAAAUUCAAAAGGUAAAAGCUUAAUCUCUGGCUAAAAGGGCACCUCUAUAAAUGUGAGUGAGAUCAAAUGGAUUUUGCAUUGAUUCGCAACCUUCACCUUAACACCAGUAAUUUUGUGGAACUUCAUUUGCUGGUGAGAAAGACGACAUCCAAACCACCCAUAAUCUGCAACUUCAAUUCCAGUAGAGUAUUGAAUCUGUGUCCCGCUUGACUUUCUUGCAAGUUUUAUGGAAUCUACAGAUCACAGUCAUAAAAUUCAAAAUAACAAAACAUAACAAAUAAAGCCUCUUUUGUGUAUCACUAUUGGCUUCCUCAAAAAAAGCUUCUUCGGCAGAGUAAAAACUGCCGUCGGAUUCAUCAUUGCUCAUCUCAUUUAAGUUGGAGUUUUCACUGGAUUCAACAUUGCCAUCGGCACAACUCUUUGCACCCACGUAAAAUACAUGAACACCGCAUUUCUUUACCUUGAAAUCAUGGAGACAUAUUUUUUCACCCUCUUCAUUGUAGCUAUAACUUCUGAUGUAGAAUUCAAAUGUUGCCUCUUCAUAAUUCUUGUCUUCUUUAACCAUAUCCUCUUGAAAUAGAAUCAAUACGUGAUCACCCAUGCAGUUCCACUCUGACUCUAAACUCCCACGGUCAUAUAACACACUUUUGAACUUUUCAUAACCACCAACACCAUCACUACAACUAGAGACUGUCAGUUGGUAUUCACAGGUAAGUUCAAGUUUUCCGAAACCACUACAGUGGGUGAGAUCGGCCACAAGGCAGAUAGCAAAAGCCAAGAAUCUUCUCUUACCACACACAUUUGGUGCUAUCUUCAAUGUUAAGGAAGAAUACACGUUCUGGGACUCGAACUUAUUUGCUGAAAUUUCUGUUCCCGGGAAACAGCAAACCAAUGAUGGAAGAAAAAUAUUUUGCCCUGCCCAUGUCUCUGCUAUGGAUCCAAUUUUGAACAUGGCAUUUGCCUCAAUGCUAUCAAUUGAAUCUUGAUUCAAAUUAAUGCAAUUGAAGAACAUCAUGCAUAACUUAUACGGAUCACCAAGAAAACCGUGUUGUUGUAUGAACGAUACUUUUUCUAAUGAUGGGCAGUCACGUGCAUCCAAGCGCCAUAAAUGUGGUGGAAGAUCUAAGAGUAAUUUAAGGCUCUUGCAAUGAUUCAUCGUCAAAUUUCGAAGGCUUUCAAACCAUAAGAUUGAUGAGGGCACAUCAAUGGUUGGAAUCUUUCUUGAACCAGAGAGGGAAAUAUUGCACUGUAGCUUUUGAAUACUUGAGCCGCUCAUAUCCAAGUCUGCAAGAUUACCUACGUAGUCGAAAGACAAGGACACUUGUUCAAUUUGAGUCUUUGAUAAGUUCAAACUACAUAAGCUUUUUGGGAUUUCUGGAAAUUUGGUGAUUGGGCAAUGACUAAGUUCCAAAUCAUAAAGGGAUUCCAACUUCAAAAUAUUGUUGGACACAUUUUUAACCCUUGAGUUUCUCAACCGUAAUCGUCUAAGCCAGAUGAGAUGUUCAAUUGAAUCAGGCACUUCCUCUAUUCUCGUUCCUUCUAAAUCCAAGUAAUGAAAAUGACUUGGGAUCUCAGGAAUCUUCUUGAGAUUAUGACAUCCAUCAAGAUCAAAACUUUCAAGAGAAGCCAAAUGAGUCAGGCAAGGAAGUUCAACCAAACUUUCGCACCCCAUACAGCAAAGGCUUUUAAGGUUGAUUGCCCCGAGUAGACUAGGAAUCUUUCUUAAAUUCUUGCAAUCAAAAAGGUCAAUUUCCUUUAAACUAACAAGAUCCUGGCAAAGAAAGUAUAAAACAGCUAUGUUACUUCUAACCAUCGUCUACAUGCUUUGGGCAUAUUGAAAUUUAAAAGAAAAAUUAAUUAUUACACUGAAAAUAAAAACUAUAAAUAAUAAUAAUAAAAAAUAAGAUAUCAUUGUAUGGUUAUCUAAUACAUCAACUAUAAAUCCUUUUUUUUUUAAAUAAAUUCUUGGAUAAAGAAAGUAUGAAAGAAUAUACCUGAGGAUUAUUUCCAUUCCAAAGUUGUUCCAUAUCACCAUGUGGUAAUUUCAAUACAACAAGAUUUUUUGGGUUAAAACUUGAGGAUAAAGAUUUGAACGGGUAAUACUCCCAACAAAGAUACCUUAGCUCAUCAGGAAGAGAUACAAUAUCAACUUGGUCUGCAAGUAGCUUUUUAUUCCAACAUUCCCCAAAUUUUCGAGGAAGAUAAAAGUGGAUAAAUCUAAGAUUUAGCAUAUUCUCAAAAACAGUAGGAGAUAACUUUAAAUUAUCAAUUUGAGACAUGUCUAACUUUAUUCCUUUAAUUGCUUCAUUUCCCUGAUAACAAAAAAAAAAAUUUAUCAGCAUAAAGAAAUAUAUAGGAAUUCCAUUAAAUAGAAGUAAAUAGACUUAGACUAGUUGACCAUACCUUUCUAUUGCAAAAAUUUUGACAUAUAUUAAAAGUGUUUAAUUUUGUUUUUUUAAAAGCAAUGUAUUAUUAGAUAUCUAAUAAUCAAUAUUGAUUAUUAUGUGUAUGGUAGGUAAAUAGAUAUCUUCAUUUUUGAAAUAAUAAUUAAAAGAGUUAAUAUUUGACAUGAUGUUCGUGUAUAGAUUUAUAAAUAUACCAUUAAACUUACUUUAUUGUAUCUCAGCAUUUGAUGCACAUUAUUAGGACUCCAUAGUCUACUGCAAUUUCCAAUGCCUGUAGCUUCUUGGCGAAUAAUAUCCUUGCCCAUCUCUUCAAGAAUAUCAUGCAUAGAAAUAAUUAGAGGUCUUCCUGCAAAUGCUGAUUGACAUGUUGAUGCUGAGCGAGGCCGUCUGAGAUCUUGAAGUCUGAGAUCUUCCUCAAGCAUAUCUUGAAAAUGGAUGGUGUCAAGUAGGCAUUUAUCCACCAAAUUGCUUAUUCCACACACUGCACCAUUAUACAAGGAACAUAGAAUAUCUUCUACUUCUUUCUUAUAUUUCCCUUUGAAGAAACAUGCUAUGUCAAGAAAUAAAUUCUUCUCUAGUUCAUCUAGCUCAUCAAAGCUACUCUUUAAAAUUUGUGAUAUUUUUGGUUGGCCAUAUUCCUUUAGUCUAUCCACCUCGCUCUCCCACUCUUUUCUAGAUUUCGUAUAUAGUUUAGAACCCAAAACCUUAAGAGCAAGUGGAUUGCCUUGGGCAUAUCUUACAAAUUGGUUCGAUAGAUCUCGAAAAUUAGCAGUAGGAUUCAACUGCUUAAAUGCAAAUGUAGAAAAGAGUUGAAGAGAGCUUUUCUCAUUUAACUCAUUGACCUUGUGUAUUUUUUCAGCUCCUCCAUUCUUGAGAACUUGUCUAUCUCUAGAUAUUAGAAUGAUUUUACUUCCAUCACCAAAAUGUUUAACACCCAAGUAAUCUAUUAGGUCUGGGUCAUCAACAUCAUCAACAACAACAAUUACUUUUUUAUUGUUGAGCCUCUCUCGAAUAAAAGCGGACCCUAUGGAGGGGGUAAGUACAUCAAUUUCUUGGUUUAAUAUUUUAGAAAGAAAGUUAUUUCGUAAAGACUCCAUCCCUUGUUUGCGUAUUUUCUCUCCAACAUUUUGAAGAAACCAACAACUUUUAAACUUUGAAGAGAUUUCAUGAUAUACAACAUUAGCAAGAGUAGUUUUGCCUAUACCAGCCAUUCCCCAAAGCCCUAUUACACGACAAUCGUUUUGAUUAAUUAGCUUCAAGAUUGUCUUUUUCUGAUAAUCUAUUCCAACCAAUUCUUCAAAAGCAGUACUGGAUUUGUUAUUCAUCAGCUUUUUUGCAACAUAUUCAACGAUAUCAUUGAUGUACUUGGUUUCAGGUCUAGACAACAAGACAAAAUGAAAGUUAAAACUAAAAUAAGUCAAAUAUAAGAAGAUUAGAGAAAGAGAGUUACCUGUCGAACUUGCCACCUUCAAUAUGCCACCCUUUUAAUUUACCGACGUCAGCAAAGGCUUCUUUCCAUCGUUGUACUUGAUCUAAACUUUUUGAUUCAUGGUCAUUAAAGGAUGUUUUGAAACUGCCACCAAGGUUCCGCACAUCAGAAGGAUCAACAUGGUAAAAGAUGGGAAGAACAAUUUUUCGUCGAGUGAGCUUGCAGUACAUGAUGCAAGAAAUUUCAGCCAAGCAUGAUUUCGAAGAAGCAUAGUCUUUAGAUAAAAUGAUGAUCGAGAGAUUUGAGGCCAUAAUUGCAUUUGAAAGUGCUGGUGAAAUUUGCUCCCCUCUUUCCAAUGUUUCUUCAUCGAAGAAGACAUUCAGUCCCGUGUCUUUCAAAGCUUUGAGUAGAUGACUGGUGAAGUUAAGGCGCGUGUCUUCACCCCUGAAGCUCAAGAAAACUUGGUGCUUCGUUUGACGAGAAGAAGAUGAAGAAGACGCCAUGAAAGAUUAUGGAUAAUGUGAUUGAGGCAAAGAGAGAAAAUUAUAGCAAGGGAGCUUUGGUUUGCCUAUUGAAAAAGAAAAGUUUAAAAUAUGGAUCCAUCAUCAGUAGGAACCUUUUAUUAAAUGGAUAGGAGAUUUCUGACGAAUCAAAGGAGAUUCGUGCAUCGCAAGGGAGGGGCACAGUAGAUCGGAAAAUACCUUUUGGAUGGAGGACACUCCGGCGUUGGCGAGAGAGACGGUGGCUGCAGAGGAGAUGAGAAAUGUUCCCCGAACGACUGAAUGAUGUGUUUAGGGACGACCGGACUGGCCUGAUGGUUUACUGGCGGCCACGCUUCAGUCACCGGAGAAGUUUUUUGAUGGUGGGUCUGUUUUCUACCGGGUUUCCAAUUAAUUUUUACUUUGUCGGUUCCAGAUGUCCUUUGGAAUUCUCUAAACUGAUAAAUGUUGGUUGUUUUUUAUUCUUUGGAUUACUUUAAUGGAGAUAACGGUUUUACCCCUCAAAAAAAAAAAAAAGGAGAUUCGUGCUUAUCAAAAAAGUAACAUAUUUAAAAAAAAGUUAUUGUUGGUUGAAUUUUCAAACAUCUUGGGUCAAAACUUAGGUUUGAAUAGCGUUUAAUUUACCAAUUAAAAAUAAAAUAUUAAAAUUAAUUUAUGAGAAUAAAUUAUAUUAGAAUGACAAAAGUAUAAUUUGUAGGCACUAAUAAAAUCAUGCCACGGCAUUAAAAUUUAUAGAUAACAAAGAUUAUUUUACACUCAUUUAUAUCUAAUAUCUUCUCUAACUUAAUUUAACUUUAAUUAAAUUAUUUAAAAUAAUUAAUUUUUUAAAAUUAUAAACAAAUCUUUUCUUCUUUUACAAAAUUUAAUCAUUUUAUUUUUUUCCAUAAGUUAAUAUUUUUAUUUUUGUGCAACCAAUUUUUUUAAAAGAAAAGAUAAAUUUUGUGCAAUUUUUUUCAUGACAUUGACACAUAAUUUUAGUAAUUAUUUUACCUUAAACCUCGAGAUUUAGGAUUUGGGUUUGAGAUUUAAGGUUUAAGUUUAGUGUUGAGGUUUAAAGUUUAGGUUUAGAGUUCAAGGAUUUAGAGUUUAGGGUUUAUGGUUCAGGUUUGAAGAUUUAGGGUUGUAAGUUACAAGUUUAGGAUUUAGGGUUUGGGUUUAAGGGUACGAGUUUGGGGUUCGAGAUUAUCAAAAUUAUGUGUCAAUGACAUGAAAGAAAUUGUCUAAAUGUAAUUAAAUAAUUGGAAAAGGACUAUAAAUAAUGUGGUGGGAAGGGUCCAUAAAAUAAUUUCUCUGUAGAUGGGUGUAUAAUAAUAAUUUUAUGUCUUUAAAUUUUAACAAUGUGUCAAAAUUUUAUUGGUGCCUAAAAAUCUUAAUUUUUAGAAUAUCCUUAUGUAAGUUAUUCCCUUAAUUUAUAUAUUCUUAUAAUUAAAAUUUAUUUAUUUUUUAUACAAAGUCUACACAUAAUCCCUCCCUAUCAAAAGAAAAAACAUAUUUAAGCAUACUCAAAUUUACAUCUUUCUAAUUGUUACAAUAACAACAUAAUCAAUUUGAACAUCCGUGUGAUGCUAUCCUUUUUCUUGUUUGCUGUUAACUUCUAUCACUAGGAGUAUUUCGUUACUUUUUGUGCAUCGCUUAAAUAGUAGCUUUAAUUAUACCUAAAUUAUUAGGUAUUCAUUAUACGGGUGAAAAAUCAAAAUUAUAUAAUAAAUAUAUUUAUAAAAAAUUAAUUAGCUUUUAUUAAAGUAGUGCAAAUGUUAAAAACUGUUAAAAGUUUUUUUUUUCUCCGCCAAAAUAAAAAAAAAAUUUAUUAAAGAGAAGUAAUGGUCAAAACAAACCAAAUGGUUAGAAACUAAAAACAAAACAGCUCAACAUUCAAAAACACCAACUUCAUUCUUGAAACUCAAGCCCUUGCAACAUUCAAAAAUCAAGAUAGCAAAGAUCCCAAAUAGUAUUCCAAAACCUCUCAAGACACACCUAUGCGUUACGCCAAGUGUUAAGUAUGACUCCGAUUUCAAUCAAAUUUGAGAAAUAAUUUUCUAGUUAAACUCUGUUUAUUUGUUUCAAUCAAACACUGAUUAGUUUAGAUUAUUUUAUUAUUAUUUGAAAUAUGAAUUUAGCUUAUAAAUAGGUUCUUUUAUAACCAAAUCUAGUUGAUGGAUAUUAAGUAAAUUUCAAAGCACAAAAUAUUGGUGCCCAAAUUAGUUUGGAUUAUUAUAAUAAUAUAAAAUUAGGCCAUAUUUAGAAACAAAUUAAAAAGGUAAUCCUCUUUUAAUAAAUGUGAGAAAUAGGUCGUACGGCAGCAUUAGUAGUGGAGCUUUUAUUUUAAUGCCACGAUCGAGUGAGAUUAAAAAAUUGUCUUAUUUUAAUUAAGGUUUGGCUCAUUGUAUAUUUUUUAUUUAAACUUUCGUAUUUUAGACAAAACUUUUCAAAUUUCAACAAAUAGUUUGUCCCUUCAAUAAAUCUACUAUCAAUGGAACUCUUUUCCUUGCCUAGUCUCUGAAAGAACUGAUUAAUUGUACGAUUUGAUUCCCACACCCCCAAAGUAUUGAUUCGUUGAUUGCAAAAAAUUUGCUACAAAGAUGCCAAGAAUCUUCUCCUUUUUCCAGGAAGCAACAUAAUUAGGAAUUUCGCUGAAUUUACAAAGAAAAUCUGCAUAUCACAGUCAUACAUAUUGUUCCAAAAUGCAUAAGGAAAAGUAAAAGUUGAUAAUGCACCAAAGCAUGGAAACUCACUUUUUUUUUUGUUUUUGGUGAGGUGAUAAAGACGAUACAUUAAACUUAUUAAUAAAAUAUUUGUAUUGGCUGAGAAAAAGAAAAGGUUGCUUUUGCUUUUGACAUCAAUUUCAAAAUGACUAAUAAACAGCACUUCAAAAUAUCAUCCAACCUUCUUUCUUUCCUCGAAGCUACAUAUGUAGGAAUUUGGAUAAAUCAAACCAGAACCACCCCUGGGCUGAAUUUUCAUGGAAGUUCCACAAAAAUUGGCACAUCACAACCAUACAUAUAGCUUGUAAAAUGCAAAAGGAAAAAGGUAAGUUGAUAAUGCACCAAAGAAUGAAAAUUCUAAAUCACAAGCUAUUUGUACAGCAUGUGAUUCUGGUUGGUUUUAAUUAAUUAAAGCACUUCAUAUUUCUAUCAUUGGCAAUUAAUUUAAAAGCUGGAAAAUAAUAGUUUAUGUGUUAGAACGUAAAUGUUGAGUAAAAUAUUAUUCAACGUGCCAAUAUUGGCACAUUUGCUAAAUAGGUCGGGUCUUGGGCAAGACAUUUUAGCCUUGCUCGAAUUUGACCAUUUCUUUUUUGUUGUUAUUUACUGCUGUUAUAUUGUUGUUUUGCUACAAGCUCAUUUGACGAGAAGAAGAUGAAUAAGAUGCUAUGAAAGUGUAUAGAUUGUGAGAUUGAGGAAGAAGAGAGGAAAGUACACAAAGGGAGCUUUGGUAUCCUAGUAUUAAAUGACAAAUGAGAAUAUGAGAUUUAACAAAGGCAACGAGUGGAGGAGAUCAGCUAAAUUAUCUGAGUCAAGAAAAUUGUCACUCUCACACUUUCCAGGAAAUGACAGUCUUCUUUAUUUGUAUAUUUUACCCACAAAAGUCAAGGUCUUCCAAUGGCACAAUGUUCAGCAAAUGGUUAAAAUCUUAAAAGAGUCCUUGAACUAGUUUACUUUUGUUGUACCCAAAUAAACCCCUAUGUUUUUAUCUGUGUUUAAAUUAGCCCUUAUUUCAAGUGACAUGUUAAUUUUAUUGUAUAAAGCAAUACAUUAGAUAUUUAAUUAAUUUAAUAAAACCCUUAGUAGAUCCAUGUAAUAACUUAAGAUUAGGGUUAGCAUUUGAUAAAAAUAAUUGAAAAGAAAAUUUUAAUUAAUCAAAUUGGUGAGUUUUAUUAUUUAACUAAAUUUUAAACUACAACAUAUAAAUUUGAGUGUAUAUAAAGAUGUAAAAUUGUCUAAUGAUCGAACUUAGAAUUAGUGCCGACUAAAGACUUAAUUUGCCACUCUACUCAUUUUCCGAUUGAAAAUUUCCCUUUUUUUCUUUUUUUUCUGUCAUAGAUAUGAAACAUCGAUAAAAGAAUAUAUUGGAAGAGUAUAGGGUAAGAAAUACUUAUUUCAGUUGUUCUUAUUUAUUCAUUUUCAAAAAGUAUAGGGACUCAAAUGACAAUAAAUAUAAAUAGUGAGGGCUAAUUUUGAUAAAAAAAUCAUCAACAGAAUAAUGAUGUGUCUUUUUUUUUAAAUUAGAAUAAGAAUAAAUUAGUCCUCAACGUAUAUACGUUUUAUAAAAUUAAUAAAAUAUAAACAUUGAGAGUUAAAUUUAUUAUUAUUUUAAUUAAAAAAAAAAGACCUAUCAUGCUUCCGUUAAUGCUUCCGUUAAUAAUUAAUAAUGGAGGAAUGAUUAAAACAAAAACAAAAAAAACUUGAUGUUAAUAACGUUGGUGAUGAAGUUAAAUUUUUGUAUAGUUAUAUGGUUAAAACAAAAGCACUCUAAUACUUAGGUGACCAAUAGUGCUGUUUAAUUACCAUAUAGAUUUAUAAAUUUACUGUGACAAAUGUUAAUUCUAUUACAAAUUAUUUAAAAUCUUUAUUUACAUACCAUACACAUAAUGGUAGGUUGAGUAAAAUUCAAUUUUCUCCUUGAAAAAAUAAAAAAGAAAUUAAAUUUUUGGUUCGAUAUAUUCCCUUAACUUAUCCAUCUCGCUUUAUUAGCUGUAUAUCACAGCCAUGUUGCAAGCCUAUUAGCUGUGUGAUGCAGCCACGUCGCAAGUCUGCUGCAACGUUCUUUGUCUCUAUUCUCCAUUCUGUUGCAUUUUUGACCAUCAAGUCUCCCAAAAACAACAAUCUAUUGCAGUUUCUUGUAAAUCUUAAAAAAGAAAAAAUGUUAUUUGGGAGCUCUCCUUGAGACUACGGCAUUUGUGAAGAUUAAGUGAACCUAGAGAUGCCAAAUGAUUCAAGCAAUAUACAUUCAAUGUCUUCAAGGUUGAUGGCUCCUAAUAGUUUCGAGAUCUUCCUUAAAUUCUUGCAACCAGAAACGACAAAGAGGCUCAAAUUAACAUUAGUAAUAUAAAUUAGCUAUAUAUUAUUUCUAAGCACCAUCCACAUACAAUGGGCUAAAUAAAAAUGAAAAGGAAAAAAAAAACAUUAAUCAUAAAAAAGUUUAUAUUUGAUGUAUUGUCUGUAUAAUCCCACCUACCAUUAAUAGAUCAACUUGUUUCUUUCAGAAAUAAUAUAUAUAUUUUUAUUUUUAGUGGCAAAUGUUUUAAUAAGAUGUCAUACAAUAUAAUUUACUGGCACAUCAAUUAGAAUCAUUUUUAUCUUUUAAAAAAAAUUAUUGGAUGAGCAAAGUAUGAAAGAAUAUACCUAAUGAUCAUCAUCAUCCCAAAGUUGUUCCAUGUUGCCAUUUGAUAACUCCAACGUAAUAAGAUUCUUUAGAUUAAAACUUGAUAAAUUUUUGAAGGGACAAUAACUCCACCGAAGAAGCCUUAAUUCAUUAGGAAGAGAUACAUUAUCAUGCUCCUUUGCAAGUAGCUCUUGUCAGAGUUACUUGAAUAGAAGUAGAGAUAUUUAAGAUUAACCAUGUUCUCAAAAGUAGAAAGAUGUAAUCGUAGCUCAACUUUGAUUUGAGAUAUGUUUAGCUCUAUUCCUUCAAUUGAUUCAAUCCCCUAAUAUAUAUAUAUUAUCAAGCAUCCGUAUAGAUAAAUUUAUGGUUGUAUUAAAUCACUCAUAAAAAAAUAAUUAUGUUAAGAAAGGCUUAGACUAAUUUAGCAUACUUUUUAUUUACAUGAACUUUCAGCCAUAUGAAGUGUUUAACUUUAUUUUGUUUUUUUAAGGCAAUGCAUUAGAUAUUUAAUUAACCCAACAGAAUGAUAGAUACUUGAGUGGAUCCUAUGUUAUACCUUAACUCAUUAGGAAAUAUCUUUUUACGUACCCCAUGUUCAAACCUUUCCAUAAGUACAUAGAAGAAAAAAAAUAUCUAUAGUUAUAUAUGUAUGCUCUAGAAAAUAAUAGGAUAUAAUUGUAUGUUAUCAAUUUAAGACAUGUCUACGUUUAUUCUUUAAAUUGGUUCAGUCCCAUAAUAACAAUAUAUAUCAAGUCAUAAAGAUAUUAAAAAAAUAUGUUUUUUCAAAGCGAUGAAUUAGAUAUUUAACUAACAUUUAUACCGUAAAACAUUGGCCAUAUCAUAUGAAGACAUCUUAUUAAAAAUUCUUAUUUGAAGUAUAGAUUUGCAUUUGAUAAACUGACAUAAUACGAUUCAUAUACUAUCAAUGAAGAAAAUGAUGACACAUAAUUAAAAAUAAACUUGGAUCUUUUUAAAAUCUGAUUAUCUUAUCAUAUGAUUUAUUGAUAGUGCAUUGUGCGUCAGAUUAAACUCUAAUUGCAGUAACAGACAAAGAAAUUUCAGCCUAAACUGAUAUGAUAAUCAAAAUUCAAGAUAAGAAGCUAUCAACUCCAAUGGCUCUACCAUGGAACUAAUCCAAUCUAGCUUGAGAAUGAAAACUGUCGAAGGUUGCAUCUAGCUCCACGAGUUCAUCCCGCAAGUUUUGAGAUCUGUUGCAAAUUCUGGAUUUAUAUAAUCCCAAUGCUAAAUAUGGGAAAAAAUGGUGAGGAUGCUGAAGAUCAUUAUAUGAACCUAAAAUCAUAAUUAAUAAUAAGUCAAAGUCAAAGGUAACUUACUUCUUCACCAAGACUGAAUUGCCAGAACCCAGAAAGGGCCUCAAAGAUUACCUUGAAGUUGUGUUCACAAAUCUGUUGACAACUUGCAUUGUCACCAAAUAUCAGUUCAAGCACUUGUAAAAAGCAAGCAUUCAGCAAAACAAAUUGAAGAUCUUACAGUUCAGGUUCUCCUCCUUGAAACCAUUUGGAAUGUUUGAGAAUCUCUUUGUGUCCCAUUUGACACCAAAAUAUUCGUAUUGUUUAUUUAAGAUUGUUGGGCGUUAGUUUUCUAGUAUUCAAUAAAAACCCAGAAUUUAGAAAUGCCUUUAUGUAUGGGAAAACCCAAAUGGCAACAAUUUUAUUGAAACAAACCAACAUAUCACAAUUGAUGUAAUACAAUAUAUAUAUCUCGUACAUUUAUUCCAAUCAAGUAGAACAGAAUUAUAUAAUUUUUGCAGAAUUUAAAACAAUUAAGUCUAAAAAUAUAAUCCUAGUAAUGAAUUACAGUCACGUUACAUUCAUUAAUGACAUUAGUGGAAUUUAUAAAGUAUGCCUUAAGUAGUGCAAACCCUGUUGCCAUCUUGAAUUGUCCUCUUCCUCCAAUCACCGCAACCUCACGUUCUACCUCUCGUAUCGGAUUCCUUGAAAAUAUGCUUAAAGAGCUGCCAUUAAACUUUCCGGUAGUAAAUGCGAAAUCUACAUACAUCACCGCAUCGGUUGUAUUUGUUCCGGCAAAGACCGCAAGUCCCUGAGCAUUUCCAAUCACCUCAGAGUCAUGCUCAGGACCUAUCUUGAGGGGAUCAUCAAGGGCAUAUAGGGUAGCAAAUGGCACUGAUGAAUUAUUGUCGUUGCUUGGGAUGUUAGCUUGGGCUAUCACCACUGCUGUUGGGUUUUCUCUGCCGAGAGUUUCAUGAAAAAAGAAGUGAAGAUGGGUGACCUUAACUGGCUUGGGAUGAUACGGUCGGCUCUUCGAGUAGUAUUGGCACUGCACUGCUACUAGGGAGAGGCAGACGAUCAGAAUCCAAAUCAACAUCAAUGUUCCUCUCAUUGUCUCCGCUUUACUAUAAUUUCUUGUAGAUGAAAGCUAAUAGAAUGAUCACGUAACAGAAGCUUGGUCUAAUUAGCUGCUUGAUUACUUAUGAUCCACACCAUUCUGUCUAUAAAUAAGAAUCUCUCCACUUCAUAAUUAGAAUCGUCAACUAUUCUGUUAUUAAUUUUCAAUUGGAAGACUUUUCUUAAUAAGAUUUUUCAAUAGCUAAUGUUGAAUUUUUUAGAAUUUGAAUAAAAUUGAUAGAAGUGCAAGCAUAGAAAACCUAAAUUUGUUAUUAGACCGAAAAAAAGUUCACAAUAAACUUCGGUUUUAAAAAGCUGCCUGAUUAAAUCCAAAAAGAAUUAAUAAUUAGAUAACUAAAAUAGAGCGAACUGAAUGAUUAAGUGUAUUAUUGUAGAAAAAAUAACAAGGAAAAAAAUGUGGGGCAUUGUAAAGCAAGUUAACAAUUGUUAUCUUCAAUCCAAAUAGUUGAUUCGCAAGACUGAAAGCUUGGUUGGCUUUUUGUUUUUUUUUUUUUUUCAAUUUUGUCUGCAUUGGGUUUUUUCGUUAAAAAGUAAAAACAAGUUAGGAUGGCAUUAAUUCAAUAAAAAUAUUUAAUAUUAAUAAAUAUUAAAAAUAAUUUUAUUUAUUCAAAUUCAAAGCAUAUUUAGCAAAAAAUAAAAUAGGUAAUUCUUAAAAAAAAAUGUAUAGUCUUUUAUCAACCGCACAACUCAAACCCAAACCACAUCUGAGAUGGUUAACACCCUUGACCAUCAAGCCAUCACAUGAGGCUCACUAAGCAUUUCGUUUUAUACAAUAUCAAAGGUGGAGAUGGAGUAACACAAUUUUAAUCCGUGCUAAACUAAUAUUUAAUAAAAGUCUUAAUCACUACUUCAUACAAGUUUUAAAAUAAAAAUCCUAGACAUUUCAUUAAUAUCAUUAUUUGAUUUUAGUUUUAAAUAUUUUGCUUAAAUUAGCAUGAGACCAACUCUGAAAUUUCAUAAGUUUGUGAACAAUAAUGUUGACUUCUGCACAAUUUGGCAUUUAGGUCAAUUGAAGUGAGUUUUCUUAUAAUUUUCCAAAGAAUAUUAUUUACUCUUACGCAUUUUUGGGUGAAUUGAAGCCGAAAAUGAAGAAAAAAAAACUAAAAUUUCCUACAAUUUCUAAACAAUAAUAUUCACUUUUACACAAUUAAGUUAAUUAAAUUGAAAUUUCAUUCUUAAUAUUGAUUUUUCUUUGAGAAGUCAAAAAAAUUUAUAGAUGGUCAAAAGCAAAGACUAGUAAAACAUCAAUUAAGACUCAAUGCAAAAUAAAAGUGUCACUAAGUCUUUAACCAACGUUGAAAUUAUUGUCAUUGUUUGGAAUUAGGACAAGAUUGAAACAUUAUGAGUUUAAGAAGAUUGAAACUUUGAAAGGUCACAUGUUAUGAUAAUUUCUACCAAAACGUUGAACAUUAUAAUCAAAUGUUUUCCCUUUCCUGAAAAAGAAUUUUAAAAAAUAGUAUAUUGUAUUAUUCUGUUAUUUGUGUGAAUUUUGCAAAUGAAAGGAUUGUUAUUUGUAUUUUUUUUAAUAUAAUGCCUAAGCCAGUAAAAUUCCUCCUAGUUAUUGUAAAAGCUAAUUGAGUUUAGAUUUAAUCACAAUUGAGUUUAAACUUUCCAAAGGGAAAUUUAGACAUGCAUUUAUGUAUGGGAACAAUUUCAUUGAAACAAACCAACAUAUCUCGUACAUUGAUUCCAAUCAAGUCGAACAGAAUUAUAUAAAGAUGUAAUCUUAGUAAUGAAUUACAGUCACGUUGUAUUCAAUAACGACAUUAGUGGCAUUUAUAAAGUAUGACUUAAGUAGUGCAAACCCUGUUGCCAUCUUGAAUUGUCCUCUUCCUCCAAUCACCGCAACCUCACGUUCUAUCUCUCCUGUCGGAUUCCUCGAAAAUAUGCUUAUAGAGCUGCCUUUAAACUUACCGGUCGUAAAUCCGAAAUCUGCGUAAAUCACUGCAUCGGUUGUAUUUGUUCCGGCAUAGACCGCAAGUCCCUGAGCAUUUCCAAUCACCUCAGAGUCAUGCUCAGGAGCUAUCUUGAGGGGAUCAUCAAAGGCAUAUAGGGUAGCAAAUGGCACUGAUGAAUUAUUGUCAUUGCUUGGGAUGUUAGCUUCGGCUAUCACCACUGCUGUUGGGUUUUCAUUGCCGAGAGUUUCGUGUAAAAAGAAGUGAAGAUUGGUGACCUUAACUGGCUUGGGAUGAUAUGGUAGGCUCUUCGAGUAGUAUUGGCUCUGCACUGCUACUUGGGAGAGGCAGAUGAUCAGAAUCCAAAUCAACAUAUAUGUUCCUCUCAUUGUCUCUCUGCUUUACUAUAAUUUCAUGUAGAUGAAAGCUAAUAAAAUGAUCACGCAACAAAAGCUUGGUCUAAUUAGCUGCUUGAUUACUAUGAUCCACACCAUUCUGUCUAUAAAUAAGAAAUUCCCCAAUUCAUAAUUAGACCCGUCAACUAUCUCCUUCGACGAAUACGGAACGAGAAUACAUGUUGCAAGUUCCGUAUUCUAAUGCAGUGGGUAGCUUGAUGUAUGCAAUGGUGUGUACAAGACCCGACAUUUCACAGGCAGUUAGUAUAGUGAGCAGGUAUAUGCAUAAUCCUGGAAAAGGACAUUGGCAAGCUGUGAAAUGGAUUCUACGGUAUAUUCAGAAGACCGUGGAUGUUGGAUUACUGUUCAAGCAGGAUAAUACACUUGGUAAAGGUGUUAUUGGGUACGUUGAUUCUGACUAUGCCGGUGAUUUGGACAAGCGAAGAUCAACCACCGGUUAUGUGUUUACACUUGCUGGAGGACCAAUAAGUUGGAAGUCUACACUACAGUCUACAGUUGCAUUGUCAACCACAGAAGCCGAGUACAUGGCUGUAACAGAGGCUGUAAAGGAGGCUAUUUGGUUACAAGGUAUGGCUAAAACCUUGGGGUUGGUUCAGGAGCAAAUUAACGUGUAUUGUGAUAGUCAAAGUGCUAUUCAUUUAGCAAAGAAUCAAGUCUAUCAUGCACGUACAAAACAUAUCGACGUACGAUUCCAUUUUGUGCGGGAAAUUAUUGAAGAGGGGAAAAUUUGUCUUCAGAAGAUCAAGACUGCAGAUAAUCCCGCAGAUAUGAUGACCAAGGUGGUAACAGCAACCAAGUUCGAACAUUGUUUGAACUUGAUUAAUAUCCUGCAAGUUUAACAGUUGAAGAAGGCACUAUCAAGUAUUGUUGUCAAAGGCAGAAAGAAUUGUGUGAAGAUAAGAUUAUCCUAAUCAAAUCUUCAAGGUGGAGAUUAUUGGAACCCACCCACAUUGUUUGAAAAGUCAAAAAGGGUGGGCACCGAAAGUAGAAAGUAAGAUUGGUUGGCAAGUUGGGUUAAAAGUUGGCAUGGGAUAAUUGCAAUUUUGGUCCCUAAUUGUAUAGGGACAUUGCAAGUUGAUCCUUAAACCUCAACUAUAAAUAGGCCUAACCAUUUCUUACUUUCUUCAUCCCACACUUGCCAUUCUCUACUUAAGGCAAUUGUUCUCCCUCCCUAUUUGUAAACUUUCACUUGUAUUUUUGGAGUGAAAUAUAUUUGGUAGUGCCCAAGGACGUAGGCAAAAUUUGCUGAACCUCGUUAAAAUUCUAGUGUUCUUUAUUUUUUGUUCUGCAUAUUUUGCAAGUGUCAUUGUAGUGAUUUAUUGUGCUAUUAAAUUACGAUAGAGGGAUAUUUUGGCUAGGAAAGAUCUGGUAUGUAAGCGAUCCUCGUGAUCCACCUCUCUUUCCUGGGAAUUGAACUUAGUGUGAUUUUUCAGUACAAUAAUUUUACUCUUUCACACGCUUCCGCGCAACAAUUAUACUGAUGAAGAGAUGCCAAAUGAUUGAGGCAAGGAAGUUCAACCAAACUUUCACAUUUAUAGCAACCAAGGAAUUCAAGGUUGAUGGCUCCUAAUAAACUAGGAAUCUUCCUUAAAUUCUCGCAAUAUGAAAUGUCAAUUUUCCUUAAAUUAACAAGAUCCUGUGCAGAAAAAAUAACUAUAUUACUUUUAAGCAUCAUCUACUUACUUUAGGUAGUAAAAAAAUGAAAAUGAAAUAAAUUAUAAUACUAAGAAAAAUAAAAAUUUGCAUAUGAUGUAUUACAAUUAAUAGAUCAAAUAAUGUCACUUAUUUAAAUAAAAUAAAAUAUUUUUAUAUUUAUUUUUAAAAAAAUUAAAUAAGAUACCAUAAGAAUAUUUUAUACAUCAAAUUAUAAUUUUUUUUUGUUCAAAGAAAGUAUGAAAGUACAUACCAUAUGAUCAUCUUCAUUCCCAAGUUGAACCAAACUUCUACAUUUAUAGCAAUUAAGGAGUUCAAGGUUGAUGGCUCCUGAAAGAUUAGGCAUCUUCCUUAAAUUCUUGCAAUUUGAAACGUUAAUUUCCCUUAAAUUAACAAGGUCCUGUGCAAAAGAAAGAAUAAUUAUAUUACUUUUAAGCAUCAUCUACUUACUUUAGGCAGUAAAAAUUGAAAAAUGAAAUAAAAUAAUUAUAAUACUAAGAAAAAGAAAAGAAAAUAUUUUAUAUUUAUUUUUAAAAAAAUUUUAAAUAAAAUGUCUUCGUAUGAAUAUUUCAUACAUCAAAUUAUAUAAAUCCUUUUUUCUUCGAAGAAAGUAUAAAAGCACAGACCAUAAGAUUAUCUUCGUCCCAAAAUUGAACCAAACUUUCACAGUCAGAGCAAUGAAGGAGUUCAAGGUUGAUGGCUCCUGAAAGAUUAGGUAUCUUCCUUAAAUUUUUGCAAUUUGAAACGUUAAUUUCCCUCAAAUUAACAAGGUCCUGUAUAGAAAAAUAUUUGUAUUACUUUUAUGAAAUGAAAAGAAAAUAAAUAUUUAUAAUACUAAGAUAAUAAAAAUUUAUAUUUGAUGUAUUCAGUGUGAAAAUUCACCCACAAUUAAUAGAUUAAAUGAUGUCACUUUUUUUAUAUAAAAUAAAAAAAAUAUUUCAUGUUUAUUUUUAAAGAACUUUAAAUGAGAUUUCAUUAUACGAUUAUUUGAUAUAUCAGAUUAUAAAUUGUUUUUCCAUAAAAAAAAAUUUAGAUGAAGAAAAUAUAAAAGCACGUACCAUAUGAUCAUCUUCAUUCCAAAGUUUUUCCAUCUUGCCAUAUCGUAAUUUCAACACGAUAAGAUUCUUUGAAUUAAAACUUGAUAAAGAUUUGAAGGGGAAAUAAUCCCAACAAAGAUACCUUAGCUUAUUAGGAAGAGAUACACUAUCAACUUGGUUUGCAAGUAGCUUCGGGUUCCAAUCCUCUUUCUCAAUCUCAGGUUUAUAGAAGUAAAUAUAUCUAAGAUUAAACAUGUUCUCAAAAACAGAUGGACAUAACUGCAGCUUAUCAAUUUGAGACAUGUCUAACUUCAUUCCUUCAAUUGAUACAGUCCCCUAAUCAUGAAAAACAAUUUAUCAAGUAUCAGUAUGUAUAGAUAUAAAAGUGUUCAAUUUUAUUUUUCUUUUUUUAAAAGCAAUCCAUUAAAUAUUUAACCAACCCAAUGAACAAUUGAGUAGAUCCCAUGUUAUACCCUAACACACUUGUCAUUACUUGUAUGGUAAGUAAACAAAUAUUUUAUUUUUUGAAAUAAUAAUUAAAAUGAUUAUCAUUUCAUACAAUGUAAAUACAAACAAUUAAACUUUUAACAUAUUAAAAUAUAUAAUUAAUUGAAUUUAUAUAUUUACAAGAUAUCAAAAAUAACAAAAAAAAUAAAAAAAUAAUGGAAGCGGAUUGAGUUUUAGCUCGAUUGACAUGGAGUUUAAGAGUGCACUAUCAUCCUAUUUAAGGGUUGGAGAGAGGCUAUGGGUAAUUUUAGCCAUUGUAUCAAAAAGAGGAGAUAUGAUCCGUAUCUAUAAUGAGAUUGUUAAAAAAAGACAACGAAAAAAAAUGUAAAUACAAUUAGCGCUUACUUGAUUAUAUCUAAGCACUUGAUCCACGUCUUUAGGAAACCAUAUCCUGCUGCACUUUCCCGGGUUUUCUUUACAUUUUUGGCGAACAAUGUCUUUGCCAAUCUCUUCAAGCAUAUCAUGCAUACAAAUAUGAUAACCAUCUAUACUAUCAAGUAAGCACUUGUCGACUAAGUUUCUUAUUCCACACAUUGCACCCAUAUAAUAAUUACUUAGAAUUUUUUCUACAAUAUCCAUUUUUUCCCCUUUCAAAAAGCAUGCUACGUCAAGAAAUAUAUUCUUCUCUAGCUCACCCAACCCAUCUAAGCUGCUCUUCAAAAUCUGUGAAAUUUUUGGUUCGACAUAUUGCUUUAGUUUAUCCACUUCGCUCUCCCACUCUUUUUUAGACUUUGUAUAUAGAUUAGAACCCAAAACUUUAAGAGCAAGUGGGCUACCUUGAGCAUAUUCUACAAACUUGCAUGAUAGAUCUUGAAAAUCAGCAACAGGAUUCAACAACUUAAAAGCAAAUGUAGAAAAAAGUUGAAGGGAAUCGUUCUUAUUCAACUUCUUUACCUCAUGUAUGUGGUUAGCUCUUCCAUUUCUAAGUACUUGUCUAUCUCUAGAUGUUACAAUAAUUUUACUUCCAGGACCAAAAUAUUUGACACCCAUAAAAUCUAUUUGGUCUGGGUCACUAACAUCAUCAAGGACAAGAAGUACUUUUAUAUUAUUCAGCCUGUCUUGGUAAGGGUAGCUUAUAGAAGGGGUGUCAAUACAAAUUUCUUUUUCGUCUAGUAGUUUGGAAAGAAGUUCAUUUCGUAAAGACUCAUCCCCCUGUUUUUUUAUUUUCUCACUAACAUCUUUAAGAAACAAACGACAUUCAAACUUUGGAGAGACUUCCUCAAAUACAGCAUUAGCAAGGAUAGUUUUGCCAAUACCACCCAUUCCCCAAAAUCCUAUUACACGGAUGUCCGCUUGCUCAAUCAACCCCAAAAGCAUCUUUUUUUGAUCAUCUAUUCCGACCAAUUUUUCAGAAGUGAUUCUAGGCGCACUAUUCAUCAAUUUUCUUGUAACAUCAUCAACUAUAUCCUGGAUAUACUCGGUUUCAGAUCUAUCAAAGAAUCAAAAAGUAAGUAUAAUUAUAUAUGAAAUCUAAAACAAAGAUAAGUCAAAUAUAAGAAGAUGAGAAAAAUAUAGUUACUUGUUGUCUUGUAUAUGAAUUCCUUUUAAUUUCCCGACUUUAGCGAAGGCAUCUGUCCAUCGUUUCACUUCAUCUGUGGGCCUCCUUGAUUCAUGGUCUUCAAAGGACGUUUUGAAACUCCCACCAAGAUUCCGCACAUUGGAAGGAUCGACAUGGUAAAAGAUGGGAAGAACAAUAUGUCCUUCAGAGCGAUUACGGUCCAUGAUGUCAGAAACUUCAGCUAAGCAUGACUUCGAAGAAGCAAAGUCUUUAGAUAAAACGAUGAUUGAGAGAUUUGAGGCUGCAAUUCCUUGCGAAAGUGCUGGUAAAAGUUGCUCCCCUGUUUCCAGUGUAUCUUCAUCGAAGAAGACAUUCAGUGCCUUGUCUUUCAAAGCUUUGAGCAGAUGCGCGGUGAAGUUAAAGCGGGUCUCACCUCUGAAGCUCAAGAAAACUUGAUGCUUCGUUGAACAAGAAGAUGAAGAAGAAGCCAUGAAAGUGUGCUUGGUUUAAUUAGGACUGAUUUUACCGCUUUGUUUACAAGUAGUUACUAAAUGCUUUCAACCCUUGUUAUUUCAGCCCUUGUGUGAUAUUUAGUAAGCCUUGACUGUGUUAUGCUGGGGUUUGGUGAUUGGUUUCUAAUCUCAAAGUCACAAAUUUGUGAUGCAAAUAAUGUGUUUUUUUAUUGACUAAAUUAGUUGGGAUUAUUAUAAAUAUAAAGAGUAUUGUCUAGUUUGCUUGCUUGACUACCCUUCCUCUUUUUUUAAUGUACAUUUGAUUCCAAGAAGAAAGGUUUAGAAAAACAGAGAAAUAUAAAAACAAUCCGAAGGUUGCGUACUCAAUUAUGCUUCUCUAUUUUUUUUUCUCAAUCAAUUUUAGGAAUUUUAUUAAUAAGGAAGAUCACAUACUCAUGCUAAGUUAACCAAUUAAGACCAACCAAUAACUUGUCAACUACCAAUUAAAACAUCAAUUAUUUUGAAAACGUGAAAAUAUCCAACUUCAACUUUUUUUCCUAAGUUAAAUCUAAAUUCUUUUUUUUUUUUAUCAAAAGUCGUAUUUCCCUGUUACUUAUUUUACAUCAAAAUGUUAUAUCCGAUAAAAAAUUUCUACCAAUAAUAAAUUGUCACAUCGUAUAAACAUAAAAAAAUAUUUUUUUAGUUAUUUUUUUCUUUUACAUUAUUUCUCUCUCUAUUUUGUUUCUAUUUUUUCUCUUUUCUUAUCCUUUAUAAUGUCUAGCAAUAUCAAUGCUCAAAAUGUUUUUUUUUUAUCAUUUUCAUUCCACAGUUGUUCCAUGUCACUAGAUUGGAGAUUGAGUUAGAGAAUUUGCAUAAUUGCCAUGUUAAAUUCAUUAGCAAUAUAGGCUCGCCCUACGGUUGUUUGAGUGCAGCCGCUCAGGGUUCAAGGUUGAAAGAAGCUCAAAAAAUAUUUUUUUUUUAACUUUUAAUGUGAAAAAAAAUGUAGGCUAAAAUAAAUUAAUUAAAUGUUUAGAACUUUCAAUUUUUCACCAUAAAUGUUUCAUCUCCUAAGACCUCAAUAAUUUUUCAGCUUUUAUCGUAUUACAUUUUAUAAUUUUUCUUAAAAUAAGACCCCAAUUUAUUGUUUCACCUACCUGGAGUUCAAAACAUGUCAAGAACAAGCAUGUGAAACAAUGUUUUGCAUUUUUCAACCUCAAAAUUUGAAUAUUGAAUUUGGACAGUGAAGAAUAUAUGUUAGAGCAUGGAUUUUUGGAGAAUUUAGAAGCUAAAUAAAGCCUCACGCUUAGCUAGUUCAUACAAUUACUUUUUAAAGGUAUAAUUAGUCUGUCAAAAGUUUUCUACUAAAUUAAGCAUUCACAAAUUGUCUAACAUGUGGUUUAUCCUCAAUUAAUCUUCUUCUAUAGUCAACAUCCAUAAUUGAAUUACGAGGUAUGUUAUUAUUUUAGAAAGAUUAUUCAUAGAGAAAUUUUAUUUCUUGGAAAUAAUAAUUCAUUACAAUGCAGCAUAUAAGUGUAAUCCGUCUUAGCAAUUCAGUUUGGCUUCCGAUAGUUCUUUGACAGGGGAUUGGGUACAUCUUUAUACUGAUGGGUUGUUAGGUUGGAGUCUGGCUUUGCUGCUUCAGGGGGUCAUCUGUGGGGAAAGAGGAGAAUAGAUUCUUGGUUAUAACCAUUAUUUGGGGAGUUAAUGUUCAGCUUUUGAGGCUGAACUUUGGAGUAUUCUUAAAGGUUUGGCACUUAUUAUGGAACGGGGGUAUAAGAAUAUUUUGGUCCACUCGUAUAGUUUGGAAAUUAUUACAGCUAUACCGACUAGUUGCUUAGAAAGUUCGCCAUCAGUUUUGGUAAGAUGAAUUCACUUGAACUUACAAACUGUUAAACAGUGGAACUUCACACAUAUUCCAAGGGAGAGGAAUAGACUUGCAGAUAGUCUCGCUAAAAUGACUUCAGGAAGCAAUUCACAAGAACAACUAUUUGUUAGGAUCCUAGAGGAGUUCUUCGAUGAAUUUGGGUUUGAUAGAGUAGUUGAGUUUUCCGUUGUAAUUACUUAGGUUAGGAUUUAGGCUAUUUUUUGCACCAAAAAAAGAGUUAGUAAUGUCAUGCACUUGUAUGUUGAUCAAGCACUCAUUUCUUAUCAAGAUAUGCUUCAACAACUACCCAAUAAUUUUGAUGUUAUGACUCCUUUUCUCUUUUGGGUCGAUAGGGGAUUACUUUGUUGAUGUGAUAAUAAUUCCUAAUUAUCGUAUAAUCCAACCACAAUAAAAUUUAGGAUGCUUCCUAAAUGUCCCCAAAAUAUCCCACCGAAGACAUAUAUUUGUUUUUCUACUCUUGGAUUUGGGUUGGAUCAUUUCCCCCAAAAUAUUAUAUUUUAAUGCUACGUUCGUUUGAAUCAGUUAUAUGAAUAUAAAUUAAUCAAGGAGUCAACUAUAAUUUCCGGACAGAAAUUCACCCCAACUCUUGAAUAAAAUUCUUUUUUUAUGUUAAAUUUUAAUAAAUAAAAGAAAUCGAUAAUAUAUGAAAUUUAAGUUGUAUAAUUCUACAUAUAAAAUUUUGAUUUUGAUUCAAUUAUACAAAUUAAUAAAAAUAAAUUAAUCAAAUAAUUUUCGUAUAUGGGAUAGAUAAUGCUGAAUUUUGAUAAUUAAGAUUUGUGUUUCUUCGUCACUUUUAAAAGGAUGGUUUACCAAGUAAACUUGACAAUUCUCUUAAAUUAUAAUAAUCCCAUCUGAUUUGACAAUAAUAUCUAUUUAAUCACCAUACCCAACUAAUGAAAUUUCAUUCCGGUCCAUAAAAAUAUAUGAUUUGCAUCACAAUUUUGUCCUACUGGAAGACCUUAACUUUGAUAUUACACACCAAUCACCAUUUCUCAAACAAAUGUUGUGUGUACCUAAACUUUGAAUUUUUAUCAAAUUUUUUCUUGGAAUCAAGUUUUUUUAUAAAAAACAAAAAUUAAAUACGCUUGAUGAUUACACUAAUGUUGAAUCUUGAUAAUUAAGAAUUAUGUACCUAUCAUUUCUAAAUAUUUUUUUAGAAAAAUAUACGUGAAGCAUAGUUUAGCAAGUAAACUUGACAAUGCACUUAUGCUUAUAAUAUCCCAACUAAUUUGAUCCAUCAUUAUUUUUAGGUUAAACUACACAAGUAAUCAUUAAACUAUUAAUGUGUUUCCACUUUGAUCACCCAAGUUUAAAAAUAAUUCUAUCUUAACCACUAACAUGGCUAAAGAUCCAAUUCAACAGUGGCACAAAUAACCAAUCUUUCUAAUGGAUCUAGAUAUCAUUGAAGGAAAAUGCAGCAAGUAUUGAGAUACCAGAUGACACCAAUGCUGGAAACUAAACAAUGAAGCUGAAUCGAGUCCACCACUGGUCCUAUGAAUUAAAAAAACCAACCAAUAACAACUCAGCUGUCAAUAAGAAUUAAGCAUGAAUUUUAAUAUCUGAAUUUUAAGAACACAGACGCAAGAGGGGAAUGAAGAUGAGAAAAUAAUAAUAAUAAGCAACAAUCACAAACUUUUGAACAAAUUUCCAAUUUUUAUGUUCAUAAAUUAUGCUUUUAACAUUUACAAUGUAGAACUACAAGGUUUCAGUAUGGUAAAGCACCUUAUAAAACACAAGUAAUUUAUAAAGCAGAGCAAGUUAGAUUCAUCCUGGUCGGUUUUAAUUAAUUAAAGCACUUCAUUUGCUGUCAUUAAUUUAUAAGUUGAAAAUUUACUAUUAACAAUGGUGGAAAACAAAACUAUGGCAAUAUGAAAAAUGAAAUGAAAAAAUUGAAAAAUGUAUGAUAAUAUGAAAAAAAUGAGAUGAAAAUGAAACCCUUACCUAUGCAUUUGGAUGAAACUCCUCAAAAGCAGAGCCAAAAAUGGAAAGAAAUACAAACUAUUUCAAUCUUUUAAGUCCUCAAUCCCCUUCUUCACCAUCAUGGCUAGAGCUUCUAUUGUUCCCAGCAACUCUCUUUUCAGUAGCAUCUGAAUCACUCUUUUUAUCCACGUAAAAUACAUGAACACCACAUCUCUCCACCUUGAUAUACUCUUCUCCUCCUCUUCCUAAAUCCAGAAGUCUGACGUAGAAUUUGAAUGAUGCCUCCUCAUAAUUCUUGUCUUCUAUAACCAUGUCGAUGCUAGAUAGAAUGAACACGUGAUAAUCCAUGUACUUAUCUGGCUCAUGAAGACUGAAGUGAGAUAUCUCACUUCUGAAAUUUUCACAACCAUCUCCACCAUUGCCGCCACCGGCAGCUGUAAGUUGGUACUCACCAAUAUAUCGAAGUAAAACGUCAUGGCGGUGAGCGAGGUUAGCCACAAGGCAGAUAGCAAAAACCAAAAAUCUGCUCCCACUACCCCCAUUUUUGGAUAUCUUCAAACUUAAGGAAGAAUUCAAGCUCCGAUACUUGAACUUAUUUGCUGAAAUUUCGUUUCCUGGGAAACAGCAAAUCAAACUUCGAAGGUUAUCACGAAAGUCUUUCCUACCAUAUGUCGCUGCCCAUUCCUUAGCUAGGGAACCAAUUUUGAGCAUGGCAUUUGCCUCAAUGUUUUUAGUUGACUCUUGAUUCAAGUUGAAGCAAUUACAGAAUCGCAUCAAUAAGUUAUGAUCUCUGCAAAACUCAUCAACCAAAGAAUCAAACUGAUAUAAAUUUUGAUCUGCAAAGGAUACUUUUUCUAAUGAUGUGCAGUCAUUUGCACUAAAGACUUUCAGAUACGGUGGAAGCUCUGAGAGUACUUCGACCUUUGGGCAACCAUUAAGAUUCAGUUUGCGAAGGGAUUCCAACUUGAUCGAUACAUUUUUGACCGCUGAGCCACUCAUAUUUAAGUGCUGAAGAUUACAUAGGGGAUCGAAAGGCAACGACACUUCUUCAAUUGGGCAAUCACUAAGAUCCAAUUUACGAAGGAAUUCCAGCUUUAAAAUAUUGAUGGAUACAUUUUUUACCUUUGACUUCCCCAACCACAAAGUUUCAAGUUUGUGGACAUCCUUGAUUGAAUCAGGCACUUCUUCUAUUUCGGUUUCUGACAAAUCUAAAGAACAAAAGUGACGUGGGACCUGAGGAAACUUCUUGAGACUAUGACAUCCGUUAAGAUGAAGACACCACCCACUAAGAGAUGCCAACUGAUCGAGGCAAGGAAGUUCAACCAGACUUUUACAGUUAGUGCAAUCAAGGAAUUCAAGGUUGAUGGCUCUUGAAAGAUCAGGCAUCUUUCUUAAAUUACUACAAUUUGAAACGUUAAUUACCGUUAAAUUAUCAAGGUCCUGUACAGAAAAAAUAGCUGUAUUACUUUCAAGCAUCAGCUACCUGGUAAAAAAUGAAAAGGAAAUAAAUAAUUAUAAUACUAUAAAAAAAUAAAAAUUUAUAUUUGACGUAUCGGUGUGAAAAUGCACCCACAAUUAAUAAAUCAAACAAUUUCACUCAUCUAAAUAAAAUAAAAUAUUUUAUAUUUAUUUUUUAAAAACUUUAAAUAAAAUGUUAUCAUAUGAAUAUUUAUACAUCAAAAUAUAUUUUUUUUCAAAAAAAAGUAUGAAAAUACAUACCAUACAAUCAUCUCCGUUCCAAAGUUCAACCAAACUUUUACAGUUAGAGCAAUCAAGGUAUUCAAGGUUGAUGGCUCUUGAAAGAUUAGGUAUUUUCCUUAAGCUCACGCACCCAUUGAAGUCAAUUUGCCUUAAAUUAACGAAAUCCUGUAUAGAAAAAAUAAGUGUAUUACUUUUAAACAUCAACUAUUUAGUAAAAAAUGGAAAGGAAAGAAAUAAUUAUAAUACUAUACAAAAAUAAAAAUUUAUAUUUAAUGUAUCCGGCGUGAAAAUUCUCCCACAAGUAAUAAAUUAAACGAUGUCACUUAUCUAAAUAAAAUAAAUUAUUUUAUAUUUAUUUUUUAAAGACUAAAUAAAAUGUUAUUAUAUGAAUAUUUGAUACAUCAAAUUAUAAAUCAUAUUUUUUGAAGAAAAGUAUGAAAACGCAUACCGUACGAUCACCUUCAUUCCCAAGUUCAACCAAACUUUGACAGUCAGUGCAAUCAAGGGAUUCAAGGUUGAUGGCUCUCGAAAGAUUACAUAUCUUCCUUAAAUUAUUGCAUUCUGCAACGUAAAUUUCCCUUAAAUUAACAAGCUCCUGUAUAGAAACAAUAUUUGUAUUACUUUUAAGCAUUAACUACUUACUUUAAGCUGUAAGAAAUGAAAAAGGAAAUAAAUAAUUAUAGUACUAAGAAAAAUAAAAAUUCAUAUUUGAUGUAUUGGAUGUCAAAAUUAACUCACAAUUAAUAGAUCAAAUGAUGCCACUAAUUUAUAUAAAAUCUUUCAUAUUUAUUUUUUAAAAACUUUAUGAUUAUUUGAUACACUAAAUUAUAAUUUUUUUUCUUAAAAAAUUCUUGAAUGAAAAAAGUAUGAAAGUACACAUACUAUAUGAUCAUCUUCAUUCCAAAGUUCAACCAAACUUUCACAGCCAAUGCAACGAAGGAGCUCAAGGUUGAUGGCUCCUGAAAGACUAGGCAUCUUCCUUAAAUUCUUGCAAUAUGAAACGUCAAUUUCCCUUAAAUUAGCAAGGUCCUGUGCAAAAGAAAAAUAUAAAAAAAUAAUUAUAUCACUUUUAAGUAUCAUCUACUUACUUUCGGCAAUAAAAAAUGAAAAAAAAAUUAACAAGAUCCUGCACACGAUGAGAGCAAAAGUAGUUUCAUUACUUUAGAGCAUCAUUUACUUAUUUUAAGACUAUCAAAAUAAAAAUUUAUAUUUGCUGUUUUGGGUGUAUUAAUACACCCACCAUGAAGAUUAAAUUAUGUUGCUUCUUUUAAAAAAUAGAAUAAAAUUAUAUAUAUAUAUUAAAAAAAUUUAAUAAAAAUAUGUUAUCAUAUAAUUAAAUGCUAUAUCAAUUAUAAAUUCUUUUUCUUUUAAAAAAAAUUCAAAUGAAGAAAGUAUAAAAGUAUACAUACCUGAUGUCCAUCCCAAUGAUGUCCAUCCCAAAGUUGUUCCAUGUCUCCAUGUGGUAAUUUCAAUACUACAAGGUUUUCUGGAUUAAAACUUGAUGAUAAAGAUUUACAGGGAUAAUCAUCCCAUCGAAGAUACCUUAGCUCAUCAGGAAGAGGUACAAUAUCAACUUGAUUUGUAUAUAGUUUCUUAUCAUUUCCACACUCUGAAUUCUUAGGAGAAUAGAAGAUGAUAUAUUUAAGAUUAGUCAUGUUUUCAAAAACAAAAGGGUGUAAUAGUAGUUUAUCCAUAUGUGACAUGUUUAACUUCAUUCCUUGAAUUCGAUCCGUCCCCUGAUAACAAAAAUCAAUUUAUCAAAUAUGAGCAUGGAGAAAUUUAUGGAUAUUCCAUUCUAAAAGUGUUUUUUUUUUCCAAAUCAACGCAUAAUGUAUUUAACUAAGCCAUAAACCUUGACCAGAUUUUACAUUAUACUUAAGACAUCGGUCAUUAUGUGUCCAAUAUAGAUUUAUAUAGUGAUGUUGAACCACAUGAUAGUAUAUCAUUAAAGCAUAUUAAAAAAAAUAAAAGAAUAUGAAUACAAGUAAUGCUUACUUGAUUAUAUUUGAGCACUCGUUUGAUGUGUUCAUGACUCCAUAGCCUCCUGCACUUUCCAGGGGUUUUAGAUUUUUGGCGAAUAAUAUCUUUUCCCAACUCUUCAAGCAUAUCAUGCAUACAUAUUAUAUCUUCAUUAUGAGUAGAAGAUGAAGGUGAGAUAUUAAUUAGGCACUUGCUGACCAAUUUGCUUAUUCCAUCCUCUACCCCUCGAUAACAACUUAGAACAUGUUUUAUUCUUUUUAUGGGCUCCCCUUUGAAGAAGCAUGCAAUGUCAAGAAAUAUAUUCUUCUCUACCAUACCUAGCCUAUCAUAACUACUUUUCAAAACCACAAAAAUUUCUGGGUGGGAAUAUUCCCUUAGCUUCUCCAUCUCACUUUCCCAAUCAUUUAUAGUCCUUUCAUAUAAAUUACAACCCAAAACUCUAAGAGCAAGUGGAUUGCCUUGGGCGUACUCCAGAAACUUGCAUGACAGAUCUUGAAAACCAACUGCGGGAUUCAACUGCUUAAAUGCAAAGGUAGAAAAAAGUUGAAGAGAAUCAUUCUUAUUUAAUGCCUUCACCUCAUGUAUUGUGUCAGCUCCUCCACUCUUAAGCACUUGUUUCUCUCUAGAUGUUAUAAUGAUUUUACUUCCAGAGCCCAAAUGUUUAACACCCAUACAAUCUAUUUGGUUUGGGUCACUAAUAUCAUCAAGGACAACAAGUACUUUCUUAUUGUUGAGCCUCUGUUGAGUUAAAGUGGAUCCUAUAGAGGGGGUGUCUAUAUCAACAUUUGAGUUCAAUAAUUUCGAAAGAAGUUCAUUUCGUAAAGAUUUCUUCCCCUGUUUUUCUAUUUCCUCUCUAACAUUAUGAAGAAAGCAACAACUUUCAAACUCUAAAGAGAUUUUUUUAUAUACAGCCUCGGCAAGGGUUGUUUUGCCUUGACCACCCAUUCCCCAAAGUCCUAUUACACGACAGUCUUUUUUCUUAAUCAGCUUCAAAAUCGUCCUUUUCUGAUCAUCUAUUCCAACCAAUUCUUCAGAAGCACUUUCAAACCCAAUAUUCGUCAACUUUUUUAUAACAUAUUCGACAACAUCUUUAAUGUACGCGGUUUCAGGUCUAGAAAACAAUAAAAAAUGUAAAUAAGUAAAUAUGAAAUCUAAAACAAAGAUAAGUUGAAAAUAACAAGAUGAGAAAAAUAUAGUUACCUGUCAAAUUUGCCUCCUUCUAUAUGCCACCCUUUUAAUUUACCGACCUCUGCAAAAGCAGUUUUCCAUUGUUGUACUCUUUCAGCUGGUUGCUUUGAUUCAUGCUCUUCGAAGGAUGUCUUAAAAUGCCCACCACUAUGUCGCACAUCGGAAGGAUCAACAUGGUAAAAGACGGGAAGAACAAUAUGUUUGUCAGUGGGAUUGUGCUUGCGAUCCAUGAUGUCAGAAAGUUGAUCUAAGCAUGAUUCUGAAGAAGCAUAGGCUUUAGAUAAAACGAGGAUUGAGAGAUUUGAGGCCGAAAUUGUUCGAGAAUAUGUUGAUCGAAGUUUCUCUCCCUUUUUCAGUGUUUCGUUAUCGGGGAAGACAUUAAUUCCUACUUUUUCCAAACCAUUGACUAGGUGACUGGAAAAGUUGAGGCAUGUGUCUUCACCUAAGCUUAAGAAAACUUGAUGCUUCAUCAACUUUUGCAUAACAUACGCAACAAUAUCCUUGAUGUACUGGGUUUCAGGUCUAGCAAAUAAUAGAAGUAUAUAUAUGAAAUCCAAAACGAAGAUAAGUCAAAUAUAAGGAGAUGAGGCAAAUAUAGUUACCUAUCCGAGAUGCUUCCAUCUAUAUGCCACCCUUCUAAUUUACCGACUUCAGCAAAAGCAGUUUUCCAUUGUUUCACUUUAUCAACUGACCACCUUGUUUGGUGAUCAUCAAAGGAUUUCUUAAAACUCCCAUCAAUAUUCUCCACAUCGGAGGGGUUAACAUGGUAAAAGAUGGGAAGAACAAUUUGUUGUUUGACGCUAUAGAGCUCCAUGAUGUCAGAGAGUUCAAGCAAGCAUGAUUUCGAAGAGGCGUAGUCUGCAGACAAAACGAUGAUUGAGAUAUUUGAGACUGCAAUUGCUCGAGAAAGUGCAUCUGAAAGCUGCUCUCCCCUUUCCAGUUUUUCUUCAUCGAAGAAAACAUCAAGUCCCUCGUCUUUCAAAGCUUGAAGUAAGUGAGUGGUGAAAUUAAGGCGCGUGUCUUCACCUCUGAAGCUCAAGAAAACAUGAUACUUCAUUAGAGUAGAAGAAGAAGAAGAAGAAGAAGAAGCCAUGGAAGAGUAUUGAAGCAAAAGAGAGAAAAUUUGCUUGGGUUGUGGUAUUAUUGUAAGAAUAAAAAGUGUAAAACAUGCAUAAUCUUUGGUAUCCUUUUAUUAAAUGGGAAAGAGAUUGAAGGCGUUUUCCUUAGACUUCUUAGCCAAUUAUCUUAGACAACACCACCAGAGAGAAUCAAUUCUCCUUUUUAUCUUUUACCGACAAAAGUGGGAGUGUUUUCAUGGUAUUCUUAUUUGAACGAUUAAUAAAAUAUAAAUUUAAAAAUCGCGAUUAAUUGAGCUUAGAUGAGAGGAUAAGUUUACAGUUUUAUAAUAAAGUCCCUCGUGAUAGUUUUAAAUUUUUUAAAUCAAGAUAAAAGGUAAGAGUGCUUUUGAUCAAUUUAGUUUGAUGUAAUUUUUAUUUGUUUGUUUAUUUUUUUACUAAAAAAUCAGUUAUUUUCUUAAACCGAAUCGAAUUGAAUUUUAUUUUUAUUUCAUACAUAAUUAAUUUUAAUUUUUAUGAUAUAAAAAUAUAUAUUUUAUAUUUAAAAUAGUGAAAGUAAUUUAAAAAUUAAAAAAAUGAAAAUGAAUUUAAAAUUUAUCAAAUAAUAUUUAAAAGCCAUAAAAUAAAACUCAUUUUAUCAAAAUAAACCUUAAAAAUUAAAAUAAAAACUUAAUAUAAAAAAUUGUGAACAAAUCGAGCCGAAUUAAACUAUAAUAGACGAUUCAAAAAAUAUAAAUAACCCGACCCUGUGAACCUCUUAGAAACUUCAGUAUCCAUGAAAUUAGCCAAUUUGAAAAGGGGUCAAAAUUUGAUUUUGAGUCUCUCUACUAUUCUCAAAUUCGAGAUUUAGUCCUUUAACUUAAAAUAAUCUCUUUAUUUAUAUGUUGUCAUUAGUUAAUUCAAACAAGACAGUUAACUAUUUCAAUUAAAAUUAAAAUUUUAGUACAUAUUAUUAUUUAAGUGAUAUAAUAUCUUGUGAAAGGUCACCAAAAUAAACAAAUAAAAGAACAAAAAAAAAUUGAGAGAGAAGUGAUGAAGAUAAGGGCAUAGUUAACUUUUUCCAUGUUUAUUAAGGUAAAUAAUCUUAUGAAGCAAAUCCAAAAAAUUUAAUUUGGACCCAAUUCUAAAGUUUGGCUGAAGCAUAGGCAAAGACUUGAAUAACCCACCGCCAUAAAAAAAUUUACUGGAAAACAGUUAAAUUUUAAUUUUGAUCCCUAUAUUAUUUUCAAAUUUAAGAUCUAAUUUCUGAAAAUUAGUAAGUAUUCCUAUUAUGACAUUAUCGAUUUGGAGUAUUCUCAAAUUUAAAAUGGAAUCCCUAUAUUUCAAAAUCACUUGUAGUGAAGCAUAGGCGACGAUUUGAGCUUAGCCAAUUAUCUUUGACGGCAAUAAAAAAUACAUGUGCUUGUGCAGCUUUGAUAAAUUGCAUAGUGAAUCUUGUUUUUUCUUGUCUAGUCUGUUCAAUAAAACUGAACUAUCUGACCCACACAUCUCAAAUGUUAAGUUAACAUGCGAUCUUAAAAGAAAUAUGGGUUAUGGUGAGAAGAAUUCAGAACACUUUUAUCUUCAACUCAAUUAAUCUAGUGGCUCCAAAUUGGCUUUUUUUUUUUUUUUGCUUUUUUUUUUUACCAUUGGAUUCUAUUUGAUAAAACUAAAAAUAAGUUCUUUUCUUCAUAAGCAUUGUUUUUCAAAGUUGAAACCCCACCACCCAUUCAAUCCUAUCCAUUACUUGAUAAAAGCUGAAGCAUAGGCCACGAAUUUAGCUUACCCAAUUUUCUUUUACCGACAGAAUUGAGCAAUAAGAUUUACUCUUUCGACAGAAUUUUUUUAAAUGUCAUUCAUCAUAUAGUCGAUGCUACCCUCAACAAUUGUUCCAUAUCGAGAUUUUGUCCCUAACUUCCACGGAGAGCCAUUGUAUGGUUCACCGGACAGGAAACCUCGAUUGGUGGAGAAGAUACGUACUUGUAGGAGAGGUAAAAUAUUUUUCACGGGCAAAAUAUUUAAAACCAACAUGCUCCCAAGGAGAAGGUUAUUUAUGCCUUGAUUGGUGGUUUGAAUCUCCACGUGCAUAUUUUAAAAUGAUUAAUAUUUUUGCAUAAUGCUCACGCUUCUCUCCUAAUCUCCUAAAAGCACGUAUCUCUUCCACCAAUUGAAGCACUCCACUCCCUAAAUCCACAAGGCUCUCCACUUAGUUGAGACGUAAAAACUUCAACACGGGAUAAUACCUCUAAUAGUUGGGUGAAGUACUGACUGCCCGACAAACAACACCUCAAAGACUUCUCUUGAAAGAGUCGGACCCCCUCAACAAAUUUAAACCGAAGUUCUUUUUUCAUGAAAACCUAAAACAAUAAAAGUGGGACAAAAUAAAAAUUUAGAUUACAAACCAUAAAUAGUUUGAGCAAAAACAUUUAAAAUGAUGUUUUAUAAUGAAAACUUAUUUUAAUUAUGAAAUUUGAUCCAUAAUCAAACAACACAGCUCGUUUGUAUAUGUCAUGCUACGUACCUUAGCUGUAAAGGGUAUCAAGUAACUAGUCGACAAUCCAAAAUUAUAACUUAUUUCAAAUAUGACAUUUCCAUCAUUUUCGGUAUCCAAGAUAUCCAAAAUCUUUCGGGGAUUGAGUUUUAGCAUAGAUAUCAUCGUUGGCAUUACAAUAAUUAAGAGGAUGUGUUUAAAUAUUUUAAAAGUUUGAUAGUUUAUGAUAGAAGUAGGGAUUAUAUAAGAAAAUUAAAAUUCUUCCAAAAUGAUGGUGAUGAUUAGGAAUUUCCAAGUCAAGGUCUUCCAAUGGGACAAAAUUGUUAAGCAAGUGACUAAACUAAUAAAAGAGUCGUUGAACUAGUUAACUACUUGUGUUAAAUAAGUUCAAAUACUUUCGGUCUACUCAAAUAAAACUCUAGUUUGAACUACCCGUUAUUUAAAAUGAAGUAUUAAUUUAUAUUAAAGAUUUUAUUUAAGAUAUUUGGAUAACAUUUAAAGUUUGAAUGCUUAUUUGGGGUAUAAUACAAGUAUAAGAAAUUAUUUAGAUAAAGUGAUAAAACUUAAGGGCCUAUUUCAUAUAUUCAUAUAAGUAAAUUAUCUAUAGGAAAAAAUAUAUUUGUUGAUUUUUUUAUAGAUAUUAUCUAUAUUAGUAGUUUCAACAAAUUGAAAUAAAAUGGGUUUCUUUUUAUAGUUAAAAUUUAUUUUAAUUUAUGAAAUUUCGCUUGUGAUCAAGUAGCUCUGCUCUUAUGUUGUAGGUAUACCUAUUCAUGGGUCGGGUCAUUCGACCCGGUCUGAAGGCUUGUCUGAAAAGUGGGAGAAUUUUAGUAAAAAUAUAGACUCGAAAAAUGGAAUUGAAAAAAAAUAAAGCCUGUUUAAAAAACGGAUUAGGCCCCAGGUAAGACAUUUUUGGCCCAAGCCUGUCCCAAAUUCACUAAAUGACAAAAGAAUAUACUAUUUUUUUGUUAUUUUAAUUAUAUAUUCUUGUUGUUUCCUCCUUAUUUUGCUACCAUUUCACUAUUAUGUUGCUAAUAUUUUGUUGUUAUUAUUUGGAUAUUGUAUAACACUUGUUUUACUGUUAAUUUUGUUAUUAUUUGAAAUAUAUUUGCUUGUUAAGUUGCAUCUAUGUUAGUGAUAUUUAAUUAUACAUAUUUUUUAAAAUUUGUUUUCAAUUUGUUGAGAAAUAUGUAUUUUAAUGUUUUUAAUAUUUUUUAUAUAUUAUAUAUAUUUAAAAAAUCAUAUAAAAAUUUAAUAUGGGUGGGCUAUGUCGGACCCAAGUUUUACAUUUUUAUCUAGGCCCGACUUGGAUAAAUUUUUAAGCCUAUUUUUUAGCCAAACCCAGGUCUAAUAAAUAGACCUAAAUUUUUACUUGAGCUCAACUCAGCCUGACCCAGUCCAUGAGCACCUCUAGUUUUAUGUGAUGCUAUUUUUUAUUUUUGAAGAUAAUCAAUAACUAGUCAACAAUCCAAAAUUAGCCAUUGUUUCAUAUAUGCAUAUUUUUGGAAUGGGAUAAAGCAACAUUCAAUCUGACAUUUUUUCUUAACUUGGUCCUCAACUUGGUUUUUUGUCCAUAUUAAUCUUGAAACAUGUCAAUUUUUAGCAAUUUUGGUACCUGCGAUGAUGUGACACUUUUAGAUUGAGCUACAUCAUCAAUUAAGUUAUUAUAUAUUUUAAAGUGCAACAUCAUUAUAGCGAUCAAAAUUUGAAAAAAAAAAUACUCAUUUUCAUUAAAGUUCCCUGAUAACAAAAACUAAUUUAUCAAAUAUUAGCACGGAAAAAUUUAUAGACAUUCCACUAAAUAACUCAUAAAAAUAAUUAUAUUAGGAUAGGCGUAAACUAAUUGAACACUUUUAAGAAUUUUUACAUACAAAAAGUGUUUUCUUUUCUUUUCUUUUUAUUUUUUCAAAUCAAUGCAUUAAGUAUUUAACUAAGUCAUAAACCUUGAGCAGAUUCUACAUUAUACCUAAGACAUAGUUAUUAUGUAUCAUUAUGCAUCAAUUCUGUCAUACCAGGCCCUUGGUGCUUAAGAAAACUUGAUGCAUCAUUUGAUGAGAAGAAGAUGAAGAAGACGCCAUGAAAGUGUAUGGAUUGUGAGAUUGAGGAAAAAGAGCACAAAUAAACCGUGGGAGCUUUGCUUUUGCUUCUACUUUUUAUUCAAAUUCUCUUAUAUUUUGGAUCAACCUUCGAGCUUGACAUUUGCAUGUUGUUAGUAAUACGAGCUGUUAUCCUUAGAUGAAUAUCCAAUUUAAAGGGACUGUUUUUCUUGCCUAGUCUGUGAAAUAAUUGUUCCAUCCAUUAGUGUACUAUUUGGUCCCCGACGCCCCACAAUUAAGUUCACAUAAUAUUGAUUUUCAUGUGUUUUUUUCCUUACCUUCAUUCAUUGAUUGCAAAAAAGCAAAUCAAUACUAUGCUACAAAGCCGUCAGUCAUCCUCUUGGCUGAAUUUUCAUGGAAAAUCUGCAGAUUACAGUCUUAUAGCUGUAACUUCAUAAUGCACCAAAGCAUGAAAAUUCACCACUUGAUAUUAGACACCUAUCAUCCAGUUUGGUUUUUAAAUAAGCACUUCGUUUCCUAUCAUAUGAGAUUAAUUUAUUUAAAAAUUGUGGAUGCAAGCUUACAACAUCUAUCACUAGCUAAUUUGUAAUGCUAAUGGACCUGAAUUUGUGUAAUUACUGCAAUAUAUAAUAAUCAGAGUUGUAUAAUUUGUGUUUUUUCUUAUAGUAGAUCAUAGUUUAGGAUUACAGAAAAUUAAUUUAAUUACUAAGCUUCGAAUCUUGAACUUGUUGGAUAUCAUCUCAUCAAAACCAAUGUACAAACCAAUUCCAAAACAGAGUAGAACUCUGGAAUUUUAAUUACAAAAAGGGAAAAUUGAUUCAAGUUUUAGCCCAAACUGAUGUAACAAUCAAGUCAAAUAUAUAGCUUUACCAUGAAACCAACUCUUCAUUUUGAAGUUCCAACUAAACCAAAAUCAUUUGGAUUUUUUUUUCCAGGUGUUUAUGUUGGGUUCCUCUAUGGGGUAAACAACAAUCUAGCUUGAGAAUGAAAACUGUGAUAGGGUUGGCAUUGAAAAUAACAUCCAGGCUCCAUGUGUUCAUUCAACGAGUUUUGAGAUGACAGCAACACUGCCAAAUUCUGCAUGCAUUUAUAUGGUCCAUUGAUAAAGCAGGGGAAAAGAAUGCCAUGAGGAUACUAAUAAUCAGAAUGAGUCAAUAGUAAUUUACCCAAGAGCAUAUGCUUCCUCUCAAUGGGAUAAACAAGGCAACUCUGUUGACAAGUUGCAGUACUGCUUCAAUAUCUAAGUCCAACCACAAUAUAAAGAAAUCAUUUAGUAGACGAAAUUGAAGAUCUUAAAAGCUUACUUGUUACAAAAAUCUGUUAUUUAUUCCCUCAUCUGCUUUCCUUACAUCAAUCAUUGCCAUCUUUAUUCCCUUCACAUGAAU